rnacentral:lncRNA from 1 species
UUUUUUUUUUUUUUUUAAAAAAAGCCAAUAAUUAAACGGUGCCAUUUAAGUAUUUGUUUUGUAGAGUGAAAUAGAUAGAUACUUAAAUGACUGUAAAUCCAUAAUUCUCACCUACUUAAAUUAAUUAUGAGUAACGUUAAAAAUAUAAUAAUGGUUAGUUUUGAUAUAAAAAAAUAAUGGAAUAGGGGACAAAAAUAUCGAACCUUAAAUGCUGGAAAUAAUGAGAGGGUAAAAGAGGGACUUUCUAACAUACAAUUUUUGAAUUAUUUGAACCAAAUAAUUGCCAUAAUUUUUUUUUUUUCUCCCCACCUUUUGGAUGAAUUUGAGAUAAGCACCAUAUUCUAUUUUGAAAACUAAUUUUAUUAUUAUUAUUUAGUUUCCAUUUUCCAAAAUUAUCAAUUAAAAAGAUUGUAUUUUAAUAGUUGAGUGGAAUUAUAUAUUGAAUUAAAGAAUUGCUUAUUAUGAUUAUGAUUAUUAUGUAGUGUUUAUUUAAAAGGUGUGGUGUGGUGUUGAGUGCUUAUGGGGAUUGGAAAAAAGUCAAUGGGAAAAAUUGAAUAUUGAUUUGACGAAUUCUUCACUCUCCCAACUGUGCGUCGACCCCACACUCCCUUCUCUUUUGUUUAUCUCAAAUUCUAAACAAACACACACACACUUUGCUUCUUCACUUCCUCUUCCCUAAUCCCACACUCUCUCUUACCGCGUGCUCUCUACCUUUCUCCUUUUUUCUUUUCUUAAUACACAUUCUAUUCUAUUGCCUUCCUAUUUCAACUUUAUUCUAUAUUACUAAACAACCUUUAAUAUAUAUAUAUAUAACUUAGGUUUAAUUUCAAGAUUGGGAUUCAACCGAAAACGAUUAAAUUUUAACUAUUCUUAUAUUAAUAAUCAUGUAUAGAAAUUAGUGCAUUUAGUCAUUAAAUAAGAGAUGAUUAUGAGUAUAUUAAUAAGGCUUAAAGUAUUUGCAUACAUAACAUGAUAUCACUAAUAAAAGGUUGUUAGUAUUAAUAAAUUUUAAUAUAUUUUUAAUUUUAGAAAAAUGUGAAUAUAUUUGUAAUUUUUAUUGUUAAAAGAUGUAAUUAGAUGGAAAUAGAGAAAAAAAACAGAUGUAAAAAGGUGAUAUUUGUUAUGAGAUUUGGAAUGAUAACAUAGUAUUAAAAUUGAAUUAUAGAUUGAAAGUGAAAGUGCAAGGUUAAAACGAAGUGAUGUAAUGUGAGGGUAAAAGUUAAGGUUGAAAGUAAAAAAAUUGAAAUUGUUAUCCACAAAAGAAAGAGAAAAGGGUUUUGUUUAAUUUAAUAAUUAGGGAACCAAGUGAAUCCAUCUUCCCAAAAUAAAAGUGCGAAAGAAACGCUAUAAUAGCGCGUGAACUGUCUCCCCUCCCUCUCAAAUUUCUUCUCUUACUAAAACCAAACUCAAAACACACACAGAUUCCCACUUCUUCUUCUUCAUCAUCUCUCUUACAUUCUUCUAAUCUUCUCUUCCUCCAUGAAAAUUUCUCAUCCAAAUUCCUCCUUCACUUCUUCCACUUCAACCACCACCGCCGAUGCCUUUCAACCGCCACCCCCGAAAAUCCUUAACAGAUCCGAUUCCACUAAUCCAUACCCCACCACUUUCGUUCAAGCCGAUACCUCUUCCUUUAAACAAGUUGUUCAAAUGCUCACCGGCUCCCCGGAAACCGCCAAGCAAAUUUCUACACCAGACCCUCCUUCUAAAUCCUCCAUCCCUCCCAUUAAAUCAAUUCCCAAACGCCAACACUCCAAUUUCAAGCUCUAUGAGCGAAGAAAUGCCCUCCAUAACCUCCAAAUUAUCAACCCUGUUUUUGCCUCCUCUGUUUCUAGUCUCAGACAUAAUAACCAUAACCUCCCUGAAAUUCUCUCUCCCAGUAUGCUGGAUUUCCCCUCACUCGUCCUCAGCCCCGUCACGCCUCUCAUUCCCGACCCCUUCGGCCGAUCGCAGCCGUUGAAUUCUGAACCGACGAACAAUGUCGGUUCUAGUAAUUCGGGUUUGGAUGAAGAAGCAGAGGCUAAAGCCAUUAGAGAAAAAGGAUUUUAUUUGCACCCUUCACCGGCCACCACUCCCAGAGAAUCGGAACCGGAGCUUUUGCCACUAUUUCCGAUCACUUCCCCUCCGCGACCAGGUCCACCUCCUCCUUCUUCUUGAAUUCAAUGUCAAAUUCAGCUAUUAAUUAAUUUAAUGUCCAUUUUUUUUGUAUUUUAAAUUUAAUGUCUUUGAAGUUUGUAUCCGGAAAUAGAGUUUAUUUGCAGAGAAUAUGAAUGCAAAAUCCCUUCCUCCAAUUGUAUAAUUCGACCGUUUCUCUUUUUCUUUUCCCUUGUCCCUCAAAUAACUUUUUAGAAUUAACAAUGACUUAUAUAUAUAUACAUAAAAAAAAAGCAUCUUUUAAUUCUCUAUGUAUAAUUUAUUUCGUUAAGUGAGAAAAUAGAUUGAGAGAGAGAGAGAGAAGAGAAGAGAAGAGAAAAUAAAAAGGGGACAGCUUUGGCGUAGUCGUCAAAGAGUGUAGAAUAAUGAGUGAAUAACAUUGACACAUUUGUUUUAUGCGACAAACACAAUGCCAAGACCCCAAUUUUCAAUGGUUAAGUUAUUCUUUCUGAAACAUAAAAAAUACACGCAAUUUUUUCAUAUGAAUGGUUGGUUUAGAGUUUAGAGUUUAAAGUUUAGAGUUUUGAGAAAGAUAAUUAUCAUUAAAUUUGAAAUGUGUCCAUCCAUAAUUACUCAAUAAAGCUUAAAUGAUAAUACUAAUAAUAUGCAAACGGAUAUAUAUCAUAUGAAUCGAAAAUGGAGUCACCCGCUAGUUCAACUCAAAACCCAAAAGUCUUUCACAUAAAUAAAAAGACUCUUCUCUUCCUAAAGAUAAUGAAAUGGAAAUCAUGGGAAAAAAGAUAGAAAUAGUAAAUAGGGAAAAGCAAAAGGGUAUCUGAGAAUUAAGUACUUUGUUGUUUUCCAAAUAUUUUUUUUUAUUGGUCAAAAUAAGGUGGGUGGAUCUGUGAGGAUGUCUAAUAAAUUGAGUCUGCUCGAGUGCAGGGACUCAGCCAUAAUAAGGGGCUUUGAAAAAUUGAAACUCUCAUUAAUUAUUUAAUUAAUUGAUUGAUUGAGUGGUUAAUAUCAAUGUUAUUAUUUUAAAUAUGGAAAGCGACCCUCCAAAAAACUAAAUUUGGUCAAGCUUCUUGAUUGCAAAUAGAAUACUCUCGACUCUCGAGUCGUUCUCUUAUCAAGGCAGUAUUGUACGAAGGCCCCUCCCUUCUUUAACCUUCAUUCUUAAUUAGGUUUCGCAAUCAUUCUAAUUUAGUACUAAUCUCUCAACCAAAUUUAUAAAAUUAUGUAAACAUUUUCUUAGUUAAAGUUGUACAUCUCAACUGUACAAGUUGACCAUUAAAUAAAUUGGAUUCAAAAUAGGGCCACCAAAAUUUUAGAACACUGAGAGAAACAAUUUUGGAAUGAAAAAGAAAAAAGGAAGCAAAUCAUAAAUGGGAAAAAAAGGAGAAUAAAGAUGGUGUAAGGAAGCAUUGAAGCUGUUUGUCUAAUUGUUCCUUUUAAUUAUGUUUGUGUGGGGAACCAAUAUGGUUUUGGUGGACCUUAUUCAUCACAAAUUUUCAUGUGCUCUCUCUACAUCAUCUACAUGUUUCUUGGACUUUUCUCUAUCAGUCAACUCUUAAUCAGAAUCUCGUAUCGCGGAUAGACUUUACUAUAUUUAUAAUUUUAAAAAAAUAUAUUGCUAUAUUUGCAACGGAAAGAUCUACCAAACAUUUUUCAUAUAUGUUUUUAAGGACAGUUUUAAUAAAAAAGUUUAAGCGAAUUAUAAAACACAAAAAUGUAAGCAUCUGGAUUUUGGCAUUGGUUCAUCAUCAUUUUGGAUGGAUUUUAACUCAAAGGUAUGGGAGUUUGAUGAUGAAAGUAUCUGGGGAUGAUAUGAUUGAUUCUAAGAACUGUUGAGUUGUGACAAUAAAAGCUAUUUUGAAAAAUUUAAAGAAAAAAGAAAUGUAAAGUGAAGGUGGGGUGGGGGUGGGGAUGGGGGACUCCAAAAUGUGUGGAGAGACAGGAGAGUAAUAUUACACUUCAAAAAGAAGUUGAAAAAUUCAAGCCCAUAGGCUGUACAAUAAUAUUGUUUCCUACCCAUACCAAUCCAAUCCAAUCCAAGUGGUCACUUCAAUAAUGUUAGGAAAAUAUCAAUUGGUUUAUAGAUUUUGAGUUUAGAUUCAAUUUUGAACAAUGGAUUUUCCUAAAUGUAUUAAAUACAAAAUUGAGUUUUAACUUAUUAGAAUACAGAAAAGCUAUAGAAUAAAGAUGUCUACAAAAGCUUCUCUUUUCUCUGAAGUUGUGAAGACUCUGCUUGCUCAAUGUCUCUGCAGACACCAUUACUGAAGGAAUGGAAAUUUUUUAGAAAUUAUUAAAGAGGAUAAUAUAUUCUAAAAUAUUAUUAAAACAAAAAUUUUUAUUUUAGACACUAAAACUAAAUAAAUCUGAACCUUCAAACUCCCAAAGUAUUAGCAUUCUUUAUUGGAGUAGAUUAUAGAAUAGUUACAAAUUUAGUCUCUUCACUUUUUGACAUUUUUAGAUAGCUGAAAACUUACAACAAUGUUCUUAUUCCUUCAACAUCCUUCAGAUUUUAAUAAUACCCACUUGCAGAAUGAAGCAACAGAAAAAUAAACACAAUUCCUUUUCAAGACAGGUCAACUAAUAUAUGUUGUAAAGAAAUGAGGUAAGAAACAAAAGGAACGAAGCCUGACUGUUGUUUUUACAACACUGAGUUACAAGAAUAGAUGCACUAAUAUACGUGAAAGAAAAAAAUGAGACGAAGGAAAAAUGAAGCCUCACCAUUUCCCUCUUCACUUCCACAACUCUUCCAUGGGGAUGCCACGCUCUUGUGCAACGUCCCUAAACUGUUUCAUCUUCUGCACGGCGACCACUGUUGCUCUAGCAUUGUUGAGGGCAUUAUUACUUCCAAGUUGCUUCCCUAAAGCAUUCUCGACACCGGCCAUUUCGAGGACGAUUCUCACUGCUCCACCAGCAAUCACACCAGUACCAGGAGAAGCAGGUCUUAGCAUUACUUUUGCUGCUCCAUAAUCUCCCUCCGACCUACAAUUUUCAACUCUCCUUAGCUAACACUUAUAGUAACACACAGCAACUCAAGAUGUGAAUAUGACAAAAGUAUUACUUCACUAGCAUUCAUAACUUGAAGCUUCAUUUGAUUUAGGUUCUCACUUCCUGGAAUCUGCUAUACUUUUUAACUCUUUACAUUUACGUCUAAAAAGGAAAUCAGUGUAUAUAUCUCUUGCUGUCCAUAUGCUUAUUGGGUACUGAUUCUUUCAGCCAUAGAAACACUGGAAGAUCGGUCGAAACAACAAGUUCUCCACAGUUUAAUUGUAGCAGAGUAGACAAAACUGUGAAAUAGACCAUCUAGUAUCUACAACAGACAACUAAAAACAUUUACAAAAUUCAGCCACAGAAGCAGCAAAUACCUCCAAUGACCAACUUGCAGUGAGGAUUCAAAGUUUAAACUGCCUACAGAUUACAGAAUUCGUAUUAACUAACUUAAAAAGAUGUCAAUUAACCGUUGAAAAAUUAAGUCAAAGAUUCCUAUAAAUCAAAGUACUCAUCCAAUUCUACUCUUCCUUAAAUCCCAUUUCAGAGGUGGGAUUGAACCAUCCACCUUUCAAAUGGUAAUGCUUAACUUAUCAACACAUUAGGUUCAAGUUUCAUACUCCUAAUUGAAUGCAUUCCCAUUAUCAGCAAACCAAAAGCUUAACAAGAGAGCAGCUACAGAAACUCCAAUCAAACAAUUCCAGUUUGCAAAUCGAAAAUAGUCACAAACCUGUGGGGAAAUGUUAGAUACUUGGUCAUGGGAACGGUGACAAUGUUCCGGCGAGCAUUAACUGCCGAUUUCUGAACAGCGGUGAUGACUUCCUUAGCUUUACCAACACCAACACCCACUUGGCCCUGUUUAUCACCCACAACAACAAUUGCCCUAAAAUGUAACUGUUUCCCACCUUUAACCACUUUAGUAACCCUCCGAACUUGGACAACCCGCUCAUCGAACCCAUCUCGCGGCUUGUCCUUCUUGGCCUUGGAGCCGAACCCGCCCGCUUUCUUGACCUUAGAAUCCAUUACAUAAAUGUCGUUUCCGAGAACACUGACUCCACUGUAAGCGGGGCCAUAGAUCUCCUCGUAACCAGCGGCAAUUUCUUCCUCGGUUUCGAUAGGGCCCUCAUCGAAGGAGGGAGGAGGGACGAAGCCUUCGGGGACUUCGGGAGGGUCGUAAACGAUGUCUUCUUGGGGAUUGACGUUGUCGAAGAAGGUGGUGUCGAUGUCAGAGGAUUUGGCCCGAGUUGCAGAGAGAAUGGAGGAAGAGGAGGAGGAGGAGAUUGGGAGUAGGAAUACAGUGGAGUGGAGGAGGGGGAAAGGCUUGAAUAGUGGAAUUGAGAGGCGGUGGGAAGGAGAAGAACGAAGAGAAAUAGAGGAAAUGGGGACGAGAGUCGAAGAAGCCAUUGAAGGAAAGAUUGAGAAGGUUUGUGGGUUCGGAGAUGGAGGCUUAUCCCAAUGGACUCUACACGGGUAAGGCGAAGAAGUAAUCAUGUGCGAAGAAACUAUACCCAAAACGACGUCGUUCCUUGUGCUCAAGUGCAUAAAUGGAUAAUUCAAUUUAUUAAUUCUUUUUAUAAAAACCUACUUUGAUUAUUUGGGAAUGUUAACAAAAUAAAAGAUUAUAAAGCUUUCAUAUUUUUACUUUUCAUUUCAUAUUAUCCAUCUUUUCUUCUCUUCUAACUUUCAAUAUAUUCUAAAUUAUAUGUCUAUAUUUACAAUAAAUGAAUUUGAUAGUUUUGGGGUACGGCUCCUAUUAGCAAACCAACAAUCCCGUAUGGAGUCAUAAUUCUCUUAUCAACGCAUCCAAUAUAUAUGCAUGCAUACCAACAUAUCUUUUAUCAAUAUCAACUAAACUUACUAAAGAUCAAACCAAAAUAUUAAAUUAUAUUUCUAAAGUUAGAGCAUAUUAAAUAAUUUUAAAAAACAAACUCUUUUGUGAUGAGAAAUAAUUAACCUUUAAUUCUCGAUCAUAAAACUCAUGUGAUUGUUUUUGACAUACAAUUCAAUCCAUGAAUUAUAAAAUCUUUGAACUAAAUGUGAGAAGAAAAAGCUCAAAAGCUAAAUUGAAUUGUUGGUAAAAGUUUUAAAAACUUCCAAUCCCUUCCACCAAAACCCUAAUGUAACAUAGUAAAAGGAUGGAAAAAAAAUACCAACUACCUAAAUGUAAGAAUCAAAGUAGAAAAUAUCAACAAUAAAAUUAUAAAAAAGAGAGAAAUUAACCAAAAAAAACAUUUACCCUAAAAUUCGUGUGUAAACAAAUCUUAUCUUUAAGUUGUUUUUUAUAUACUAAAAAAAACCUCAAAAUAAAAUGUAAUCACCAAACGAAAACAGGAUCAGUUAGCCAUGACAACCAAAUUAAGGAAUAAGCACAAUUUCUAACAAAAGGAAAAAUGAAAUUCUAACUUGGAGUAAUACGAAAGAAAUAACAGGAGACAUAGAUUAAAGUAUGUAUGUAGAACAGUAAACAACAAUUGAUAAAUUAAGAAUACAAAUAUAUGAAAACAAAGGGUAAAGGGUAAUGGUAAGGUAAUACAGAUUGAUAUAUAAUAAGAUAUAAUUAAAAGUAGUAAUGUGAUGGGGAAGAGUCAGGCUGUGCCAUUAUUACUGGUGAAAUAGUCAAAAAGAGGGAACUUGAAUCCACUGACUUCAGGAAGAGUAUCAAGGCCUCCAAAGCAAUCUUCAAACCCCACAUUACCAUUAUUGAUAUCAUUAUUAAUAUUAUUAAUCCCUUGGAAAUCAUCUAAUAUUAGUUGUUCCUUAUAAUUAAUAUGAUUUGUAGAAUUAAUCAUGGUAUUGAUAGGUGGAUUAGCAGUGAAAAAGGUGGUGGGAUGGCUGUGGUGGUCUUCAGCUUUGUGUUUAAGCUCUUCGAUUAACAAAGCUAAAGAAGCAUCUUCUUCUUCGUCUUUCACCUGAUCCUCUAUGUUUGACGACAGACUAAAUUGUUGCUGCUGCUUCUGCUUGUAAUCUUCUUCCAUUCUUGAACGAUUCUCACUUUUUUCAACUGCUACAUACUGUUCUCAUAUACAACAUCUAUGUAAAAUAUACUUCUAACACAUGGUUUUAAUUAAAUUCACUUUUUAGAUGCACACAUUUGAACAAAUUAUAUAGUCAAUUAACACAGUUGUCACUCAUCUCUGGUUAUUAUCAAUAACUAUCUCAUAAAUAUCGUCUCUAUUAUUACUAUUCAAUUUAUAACUAAACAAUCCUGUCAAUAAUUUUAUGAACACAUAUGUGCAGAUAGAUACACAUAUAUUGAUAUACAGACAUGUAUGCGUAUAUCUAUAUGUAUAUAUCCAAUUAUGAAUUUUAUGAAGUGAAACGUUUUAAUUGAUACAGAAAUAAUUAAAAUGAACCUUGGAGUUUAUGAACAGAUUUACAGGAAUCAUUUAAAUUAAGCUAAAGCUUCUUUUUUGAUAAUUUAUCUUGUAGUUAUUUCAUUUUGAUUAUUAUAGUUUUAAAUGUCUAAAUUUCGUUCUACUUAACAAAAAAAAAAAAAAAAAGGUUAAAAUCCAGUGCCAUUGUCAUUUAUUCUAUAUAAAUUUUAGAAAUAUAUAUUUUAAAAUAGUUUUUUUUAAUGAAAAUUACUACUGUUAUAUGGUUUAAAAAAACGAACUUCAAAUGAUUUAAUUGUAGUUAAAUGGUAAAUCUAAUCCCAAUUUUAAAAAUAAAAAACCCAAAAUUUAGUCUUUAUGAUAUAAAACCUUAUAAAUAGAUUAUAUAGUUUGAUCAAACUAGAAAGAUGAAAUUUUAAAUUGAAAUUUAAGAUUUAUUAAAAACAUAGUGAAGUAAAUUCUAAAGUAUAAAAUUUAAAACUCAAAAAAUUAAAAUAAAAGGGAAAUUCAUAAUACAUAAACUGAAUUAAAGGAGAAAAGGCUUAAAAAAAGAAUAUAAAUUACCAUAAGCAAUUGGCAGACGAAAUUCAAAACAAAAAUGAAAAAUGAAAAAUGAUGAGAAUGUUUCAAUUUGAUUGAAAGUGGUAAGAGAUGACUUGGAUGGCCCCACGAAUAGGGAAAUCCUAUCUGUCAAAAACAAAGUUAAUAUGAAGAAGAAAUAAAACACGAAAUCUUACGUGUCAAAAACAACUGUUAUUUUUUGUCCAUAUUACUAUUACAAUAUAUUAUCUCUCUAUACGCAUAUUUCCAAGCGUUACUAACCACCAAAUUAGGAAACUCCACACAUCAUUAUUUUCUUACUAAUUUUAACCAAAUUUACAAAACAAAAGUCAAAUUUCGAAGGAGAAAAACAAAAAAAAAAAAAAACAAAAAAAAAGAGAGAAAAGAGAAAAGAAUACUCACGAGGUUCUUGCAGUCAUCUUCGUAUAGGGUCAUUGCAUCUCCCAUCAAAAGACCAUUUUGUCUUACGAAUUCCCCUAAAAUUAAAAUUAAAAAAUUGGAAAUGAAAAUCAUUAUUCGGAAAAUUAAGAAGUAAGUUGUUUGGUUAGGGUUUGUUUAAUUUGUAGAAGUGAAACCUGUGUUCUCCAGAACAUACAUUCUACUUCUGUUGUUUGCCCAGUACCUAUAUUAAUUAAACUCAACAAGAAUUUCAAGGGGUUAAUUAAUUCAUUAAUUAUGAGGAAAAAAAGUGUUAAAUUUCCAAUGAAUCCAUUAAUUAAUUAACACAACAAUUGUAAUUUUGUUUUUCCUUUUUUUUUUGGGGGGGCUUACUUGUAUUUCAUUGUCCAUCUUCUGUUUGAGUUCACAUCUCUCACAACAAUUUGGAGACCUUCCUUAUCAGUGAGAAAUGGAAGGUUCUCUUCUGCCUCCCUCUGUGAUGCAUAUAUGCACAAUAUUUGCAAAUUCUCAGCAAAUUAAACAAAGUGUGUCUAUUAGAAAAUCAAGAUUCUAAUUAAUAAGCUAUUUUCAAAUUUCUCUUUUCUAUUUACUUAGGGUUUGGGAUUCGAUCAAAGUGUGAUCGAUGAUAUAUAUAAUUAGUGGUAAUUAGUUCCAGAUUGUAAAGUUGUGUACAAAUAAGGUAGAAAUUAAUCUCUGAGUACAACAACAAUAAAAUUUUAAAAAAAAUGAAAUUUGAUUAAAGUUUUAUAUUUAUUCAUUUUCCAAUACACCAAAAAAAAAAAAAAAAAAAAAAACAAUAAUAGGGUUUCUUUUUUAGUGUUAAGUUUUUCCUAUUUUGUUGUGUGUAGGUGUUAAAAAAAGGGGUGAGGGAUUGUGUGUAAUUUUGGUUUGUAGUUAUUCAUUCCUCUUCCUUUUCCCAUUUGCAUGUUUUUUAGACGAAGUUUUAUCUUAUUUUCACUGUUCUAUUGAAAUAGCAAAAAAAAAAAAAAAAAAAAAAAAAGAGAUCUAAAAUAAGGGUAAGAAAAUCCAAACCUUGGGGAGGACAAUCCUGCCCAAAGAUCCAACAUCACUGUUCUUCAGCUCCUUCUUCAGUAGCAUUCUCAAAAUCUUAAGAGACAAAAAAGAAAAAACAACAAUUAAAGGAAAAGUAAUCAAUACAUAUACAUAUAUAAAUGAAAACUUUGAUUAAACAUCAUAAACCUUAUUGUCAGGAGUACAAAAGGUGAAAAGAUGGCGAUUAUUAUGUGAAGAAUCAGUAUUAGGGAAAUGGGUUAUAGUUAAACCCUUAGAAUAAUCAUCAUGAUAACCACAGGAAGAAGAAGAAGAGGAUCGAGUAGUGAAAGAAGUAAGGGUUCUUUGACGAGCAAGUCUUCUAUUAGUUCGAGCCACUUUAGUACUCCAGGCAUCCAAAGCCUUUUUUCCAUCAUCUUUAGGAAAAACAGACUGAAUGUUUGGCUCAUCGAGCCCAUAGCUAAGGAGGGUGGGAGAAUGAGGAAAACGGGGAGCAAGUGGUUGUGGUUCAUGAGACGAAGAAAAAAACGAUUGUGGGGCUGAGGAGGAAAAUGAGGCCAAGCAAGUUUGGGAGAGAGUAGGUGGGAGAUAACAUGGAUUUUGUGGAGGAGAGUGGAGAUUAGUGGUGGGGGCGGUGACGGCGGUGGAGGGGAAUGGAGGGAGUUCAUGGUGGUGGUGGUGGUGGUUCUGGUGGGGGUUGUGGUGGUCAUCCAUAUAUAUAAAAAAAAUAAGAAGAAAGAAAAAGGAAAGAGUUUUAAAAUAUGGGAAAUUAGGGUUAUAGGUAAGGAGAGUGAAUGUUGCAUUAAGGGUUAAAGGGGGUUUAAAAAGGGAGGGAGUUAGAAGGGGAAAUGAGCGGUCCGAGGCCGGGGAGAGAGUGACAAGUGGGACAAACCGGGUGGAUUUUGGGAACCACAUUGUAUUGAUGUGAGCCAAAGGUCAAGAUUAUGAACAAAGAGUUGUGUGCUUUCUUUUUUUAAGUUUGGGGGUGGUGGCGCCUCUAAUAUAAUGCUUUAACAUUAUUGCUCCUAUUCUUUCUAUUUAGUGAUAUAUAUUUAGUUCUGUCUUUGAUAUUAUAUUGUUACUAAAAUUAAAUUUCAAAUUUCACCCAUGCUUUUUCAAUAAACUUCUAUCAUUAAGUGUGAAUUAUUUACUUAUUGGUUAUUAAAAUCAUAAAUCUUGAAGGAAUUGAAAUAGAAAUGUAAGUAAUUGUGGGGUAAACUUUAAGCACGGAACACCAUGCAACCCCUGGAUUGGCCAUACACACAAUUCAUCUAUCAUCUAAGUUUCAUCCCUCUCUUUCACUUUAAUGACUAUCCAAAAAUCAAAUUCACCAUUGGAUAAUACUAACAGGAUAUAUCCUUUUCUUUUGCUUCUUCUUUCUCUUCCACUUUCCUUUCCAAUGGAAAACUGCAUACCAUAUUUAACUCUCACACACAUAGGCCAAAACCUAAGUUUUACACACUUACACACUUGUACAACUUUACUAAACGUUCGUGUAUGUUUUUAAAUUUUUUGUCUCUUAGUUUUAAAAGGAGAAUUAGGGUUUCUAACCAUUUUUCGAUAAUAAUCAUUCUAUUAGUUUUUGAAAAUUAACAUUAUAAAUAUUCAUUCUACAAAAAUUUAAAUUUUUUUGUUUUUUAAACCUACCAAUUUUGAAAACUUAAAAAAAUAGUUUUAAAACUUUUUUUAAGUAUUAAUUGAUUUAUUAUAUAUAAAUUUGAAUCUUACUUCUAAAGUUUUAAUUUUGUAUAUUAUCAAUAUUUAAAUAUUUAUAAAUAAAAAAUUAAGGAGCUACACUUGUAUUUUAAUCUAUAAAAUAGUGAGGGGAUGUUUAGAUUUUCUGUUUCUUUGAGUUUUUAUUUUAUGAAACAUUGCUACAUAUGGUCUUAUAUUGAUAAGGUACAUCCAUAAAUUAAAAAUUAUAUCACCUCACUAUGAUAUCAAAUGGUUACGAACACAUUAUCAACUCUUGGGCACAUUGAUACUUUACAUACAUGUAUAUUGUAAAAAGAGUCUACAUAAAUAUACAUUAUUGUUAGUCUUCCUCUUUUUUCUUUUAAUAAAUUAUAAUUAUUUGUAUUAAAUGAAAAUCAUACAAAAUAUUCGAAUGAAGAUAAAUUAUCAGAUUAAGUAUAACGACAAAUUUGAAUCUUUCCUAAAAUGAAUGUUACUAAACGACUAUCUUCUAAAACAAAAGACUUUAAUAAUGAAUUAUAGUUUCGAUGCAUAAUCUAUACUUUCAAGGAAAGAAAACAAAAAUAAAUUGUCGUCUCGUGUUAUAAGUAGCGACGACAUAGAUCUUCUAUAUCUAAAAAUGAAUUUGAUUGGUAGCGAGAGUGAAUGACUUGUUAAAUAGUUAUUUACAAUGUUAUGCCAUUGUGAAAAAUAGAAUAUGUAUAAGAUUUGUCACUUUAACGUAUUGUUAUUGUUAGAAAAAGAAAGAAAACAAAAUGUAAAAGAGCCUAUUGGAACGAAGAUUCCCAUAAAAGAAAGAAAACAAAAUGUUAGAGAUAAAUUAAGAAAUUAGGGGUUUAUAUACUUUAACUGAAAUUCUUUACUUUUGUCAUUUUCCAAUGGACUAUGACUUUCUUCUUCUACAUUUAUUGAAGCUCGAGCAAAGCAUAUUUUCUAUAAAUUACAAAACCUAAAAAACAGCAAUUAAAUAAUAUGUGUAUAUAUAUAUAUAUUGUGGAAUUAAAAUUAUUUCUUGUAAAUUGAAUAAUGUUCAUUGUUUAAUGUUAAUGGAAGAGUCAAAAAAAGGAAACUGCCAAAGUAUUUGACGCUGUUCUAUUGUUACGUGUAAUGUACGUAAUUAAUAGGAAGUUACAAGUUUUAUUUUUCUUGUUUUUAAUUAGAAAAAGGUUGAGGUUUUAGUUUAUUAUAUUUUUCAUAUAUAAGCAUGCAAUAUACUUUUUAGUCCAUUUUUAACCUAAUUAAGCUGACUAAAACUUUAUAUAUAUUUGAAAAAAAGGCUGGGAGAGUUUUUAAUAUCUAUUUUAUCAUGAUUAUCAUUGUAAAUGAGAUACAUUUAACAGUGUAAUUGAAUAGUAUGUAUAAGUCACAUGAAUAGUUUGUGAAGUAAUAUUCUAAACAAAUAGUACAUACAUUUUUUUUUUAGAAUAUUUAUGGCUUAAACUUGGUCAUGAUUUCCAAUGAUUGAUUUUUUUUUUCAAGGAGUUGUAACUAUUGUAACGGGUUAAUUAAGUGAUUUUAAAAGAAUUUAAAAUCACUUAGACUGAUUUUCGUUAACCAUUUGGAGGGCGAUUCCAACCUCAUUUCUUAUGAAAAAAAUACUAUUUUAUUUACUGUUUAUUUUUAAUUUUAUAAAAUACCUCCUGUUUUAUUAGAUGAAAAUUACAACUUCUAAAUCACUCUAGACAUGUCCUGAGUAAUUUUAAUUAUUUGUUCAUUGUAAGAAAAUUACCUCAAAAAUUAUAAAUGAUAGAAUAGAAUAUUUGAACUUUUGGAAGUUAAUAAUUUGUAUAAUAUAAUAUGGAAUAUGAUUUAUUUAUUAUUUUAAUAAACUGUGAAAAUUUAUUCUUAAUUUCGCAUGUACUUUUGAAAAUUUCAAUUCACAUAAUUGAAUAGUUUUUUUCUUAAUUAAAAAAUUAGACAUAAAGAAAUAUAGGAAUUAAAUUCUUAAUAUUAGCAUAUACAAGGACAUUUUAUAAAUAACAAAUAUAUAGUAAAAUUUUAUAAAUAAUAAAUAUAUAGCAAUAUUUGAUACAAAAUUGGUAAGUACGAAGGAAAACUCAUUACAGCACUAUUGUGAAAUUGGUGUGCUAUAAACUGGAUCUUAUAUUACAGAAGAGGCCCAUAAAACGGCCCAAAAUGACGAGGCAAACCGUUACUCAUUAUUGCUUAUUAGUUUUGUUUACUAACUUUGAAAAAUCGAUUCUCAAGAAAGAAAGAGAAAGAAAAAAGAAUUUUAAAAUCAUUCCAGAAUAUUUUAAUUUAAUAUUAGAACUUUAUUAUUAUGAAAUCACAAAUACCAAAGUAACGGAAGGGAGUUAUGUUUUGCAUCCCGGAACAAAUGCGUGGGUUGGGGGUGGAAAAGUGGGCUGGCCGUUUUGCUUGAAAAGGGCCCAAAAAGAAGCAAAAAUGGGCCAAUAAGGAUGGUUAACUUAGUGAUUUGGUGAAGGGGGUAGGGGUCCCACAGUGAUGAAAAGUGUGAAGGAGCGAAGGAUGGAGACGGAGUCCGUGGAGUUGGAAGAUGGGAGCGUCAAAAUUUGUAAACUCCAAUGGAGCAGUUGAAACCGCUAACGGACACGAGCGUCAUCUCACCUACUGUGACUGUCUGUCACCCUCUCUUAUCCCACGUGUCACUUUCCUAUUCCUCACAGUCACAAGCCAUGCCUUGUGUUCCUCCUCGUACCUUCGUACUCCCCUUCCCCUUCCAAUAACAUCUCCUUUCUUUCUUUUCUUUUCUUUUCCUUACCACUAAAUUACGUUUCCUUUUUAUAUUUUUCUAAAGUUUACCCUUUGCCUUCCCAUCCAUAUAAUAUUAUUCAACGUUUCUUAUUCCUUCUAUUCCUAUGAAUUAUAUGUCGUAUAUCUUUAAAAAAAAAAAAAAAAGAAACACAUUUGCUAUCAUUAUUAUAACUAGAGACCAACGAUAUUAAUAAAUCUAACACAAUACAAACAAACAAAAUAAAAAACUUUAGAUAGUCUUAAAUUUACAAUCAACUUCAUGAAUCUAUAAACAAUAUAUAGUAGGAGUAUUUCAAUGAUAAAUUAGUAUUGUCGAUUAGAAGUCUAUCAACAAUAUAUAAGUAAGACUUUGUUAUACUCACAACUUUUUUUCUUCAAACGUUUGGUUUGGAGAAGUUGAGUUGAAUUUUUAAGAAGAAGUAAUUGGUAGAGUUUUAAAGUGAAUAACGAAGUAAGUAAUGUUUUGAAAAUUCAAGAUGUUGUAUUUGUAUCGAAUAAAUCUUUCGAGCAUUGCAAUACUCAUGAUUUACUAAUUUAAUGUUUAAUAGGUUUUUGACUUCAAACAAAAUUAUUAUUUAAAAGUUAAUUAUAAUUUAAUUUUUAGUUUAGAGACUCAAAUGGAAAACAUUUUGGUGGAUGGGGUAAACUAAACUCCUUGUAUCAAAACCAUAAAAUUAAUUAAUCAUAGUGUUUGUAUUAUAUUUUUUUAAAUAUGACUUUGAACUUUAUUGUGUAGAGUGUAAACCAAUAAAUUUGUGGGGUUGUAAAAGGUUAUAAGAGGAUGGACAAUUUUAAAAGGUGGGAUUAGAGAUUGACUUGAAGUUGGGACAAAAUGAUUAUGGAAGUGGAGACUUUUAAUUGGAAAUUGGGUCCAUUUAAGAUAAUUAAACAUUUGAAUUUGAAUACUUAAUUAAUAUAAGUAACAAAUAAGGUCUAAUUCAAUACAGAAAGCCCUUAGAAUGAAGGGUCACACACACACACCCUACCAGUCCCACUCCAAAGCAUAAUAAGAUAUAUAAAUGUCAAAUAUCCAAUUUGUUGAAAUGAUGUCACCAAAAAACAAAAACAAAAAAAUAAAAAAUAAAAAAAGAAGAAGAAGAAGAAGAAAAAGAAAAAGUUAAAUUACUGAAAAAACAGAGAGAAGAUUUAGCACAACUCAAAAACAAAAAAACCAAUUCUCAGAAACCAAAACCUCUCAAAAAGACACCAAAGAGAAUUAAUUAUUAUACAUCUACUCCUUCCACCUCCGAUCUGUCAGCAGCCACCGCCCACUCCGCCCUGCCUUUGAUCGCCGCCACGUUCUCAGAUUCUCAAUUAUAUAUAUGUGUGUGUAUAUAGAUAUCCUUUUAUUUAGUAAAAUUGAAUCUUUUGGGUUAUUGUUUAAAGCUAUGUGAUGAUAUUUUGGCUGGAUUUUCUUUUCUUAUUCAGACCAUCAUUCUUUUUUCUCUCCAAUAAUACAUGCCGUACUUCUGUGUCUCUGAAAUUCAACAUCAUUUUGCAAAAUUUCAGAUUCUUUGUUUUCCCUUCACAAAUUAAAUUCAAACUCCCAUCUUAAAAAAAAAAGAAAAAAGAAAAAAGAAAAAAGAAAAACCCUAGCUAGCUGCUGCUGAUUCAUGCACAGAGAAGUGGCAAGUUUGUACCUGUAGUUUCUUGAAACUAAUACUGUCUUCAUUUAUUUCUCUAAAAUCCCAAAAAAAAAAUCUGAAUAUUUUCCUCCCCUCCCCCAAAAAAAAGCGGAAUUUGGUUAAGAGAUAAUAUGCAGUAUCAAGAUCGGAGAUUGAAGAGUGUACAAGUGCAAGAUCAAGUUCAACCACAGCCUCAAAAAUGUCCUCGUUGUGAUUCUCUCAAUACUAAGUUUUGUUAUUACAAUAACUACAGUUUGUCUCAGCCUCGUUAUCUUUGCAAGACUUGUAGAAGGUAUUGGACUCACGGUGGCACUCUACGGAACGUCCCCGUCGGCGGUGGUUGUCGCAAGGGUAAACGACUGAAGCAACCCUCACAAUCAUCCAAUAAUAGUUCUGUAAAGCCGUUGGUACAAACUUCAGCGUCACCACUACCGCCGCCGCAGAUAGUCCCGUUGAGUUUAUCAACAACAACUUCACAACACGUAAUAUAUUCGGGUACUCCUGUCAUCACGCCGCCGUCAUUUUUCAAUUCGGGUGAGUAAUAGGAGGAGUGGAAGCUAGAAAUUUUGAUAAAGAGGAUAAAAAUUUAACCUUUGUUUUGAUUGCAAUUAAAUCUUUAUUCCCUUUCUUCUUGGAUUAAUUGAAAGAUGCAAUUUUUCUGAUGGGGUUUUUUGAUGGAGCAGGCGGGGAAUUAUUGUCAUCUUCAAGCUGGAUUAGUUCAUUUGGAUCAUCGUCACAAGGCCCAGAAAUAAUCUAUGACAUGAUGGAUCAGUCGUCGGGAAAGGCCGAUGCAAAUUCGUCAUCUCCAGCGGCAGGGUGGUCGGAGAGCUACAUCAACAAUAAUUCUAUUUCUAACCCUAUAGCUGCCACCGGAGACGCGGUUGUCUGGCCAGCUGGUGAGAACAACAACGCUACCCUCGCGGCCGCCACCACCACCAACAUUGCUACAAUUAACCAAUGGCCUGAUUAUAUGCCGGGAUUUUGUCCUCCUCCAUGACAUGAUUUAAAGGCAGCAGAUACCAAAGAUGACAAAUCUGAGGAAUUUGAUUCUUUUUUUUUUUUUUUUUUGAAAAAAAAACCCUGAAAAGAUCUUACCUUUGAUAUUAUAUGUAUGAAUAUGCUUUGAAAUCAUUCAUUUGGUUUGAAGUGAGUUAGAAUUGGGGUCGAUAUGUGUUGAUGAAAUUCCAUAGAGCUAGCUCUUGUGAGGAAAAUUAUAUGGAAUAACUUGAAGGUAUGACUAAUUAUAUUUGAUGAAAUGUUGUAUAAGGAACAAGAGCCUAGGGUAGCUAAACUAAACAUAGGUUUUGUUGUAAUAUCAUUAUGUGUAUUAAUACAGGCAAAGAAAAGGAACAACUUGGUUGGGUUAGGUUUUUCUUUCUUCAACACUUUAUUGGUUUGAUUAAAGAGAGUGUUAUGAUAAUGGUAGAUGUAUGGCUAUGUAGUACUUUUUGAUUGAGAUUGGAGACUCUUAGCUUUUUGAAAAUGUAAAGAGAUAAUUAAAUGUACUGCAUGCCAAAGUGCUUUGAGACUGAGGUGAGAGACCCUUAAAAGAAGAGAAUAAAUAUGCUUCUUCUUCUUCUUCUUCGUGAUGAUAAUCGAGGCAGACAAAUGAAUGUGGCUCUCUGUAAAAGUUGGCUGCACAAGUUUUUUUUUUUUUUUUUGUGAUUCGGUUUUGUUUGUUUGAAUAGUGCUCCUACAUAUCGUUUUAGGUAACAUUUGAAUUUUGGAAAAAGUACUACAUAAAGGUGGAAGUAGAGCUUAUUAAGCUUUGGUUAAUUAUGAUAGUUGGAAGAUUGUUUUUGUAUUUUGUGGUUGGAUUUUGCAUAAAAAUGCAGCCCUUUUUAAUUUUUAGUGUAUGUUAUUGUGUGCAUUAAUGAUAGGCAUGUGGUAAUUUUUUUUAUUGGUAUUUGUGAAGGAAGGGAAUGUACUGUGACAUUCAUUUUAUUCGGUUAGACCUGGUCUACCUAUGUAUCCAAAUUUACAAUAAGCUUUUCUCUUUUAAAUUUACUUUAUAUCAACAAAAACAUUAACCUCAACUACAAAUUUAAGUUUACCAAUAUGUUCGAUAUCAAGAGAUAUAUAUUGAUUCAAAUAAAUUUUCAAUCAAAGUUAAUUGUAUUUAAAAAAAAAAAAAGAAGAAGAAGAACUCUAUUGUUUGCCUUUUCAAGUUUAGGGCAUACCUUAAACACCAUUUUUUUUAUUGAUGUUGAAGACAAGUAAUAAAUAAAAGUUCUUAAUUAGCUACCUUAAAUACUAUUUUACCUUCUCUUUUAUUUAUUACAGUUUUUACCAUUUCCUUAUCAACCUAGAUUAAAGCAAUGUACACACUAAAUAUAUACCUUAAAGAUCAAUUAUUAUAAACUAACUAUAAUUGUUUACCCCUAGUCUUAAAAGAACAAUAAUUACCUCUUCCAUAUAUUUAGUUGAAGUAAAAUGCAAUUUGGAAGAUACCUAAUUUUUUCCUAUCUCUAAACGAAUAAUAUAUGUAGCAAUGCAAAAACAUCAUUGAACAAGAUAAUUAACUUUUAAAUUUUGUUUUUAAAAUUUAUGAUUUUCUUUCAAUUGAGCACAUAUACAGACACACCUAUCUUGAACACAAAGUGUUUUUUAAAAUCAACCCACUUUGCAUAACAUACUCCCAUCAAAAUGAGUUUUUAUUAGCAAAUAAAAAAAGGGAACUUAUUAAUUAAAAUGUAACUAUAACUAACACACCCACCUCAUAAAACUUAAUAUUUUAAAUGUUAAGUGGAAUAAUGGAAAUAAGAAUAUAAUGGGAGAAAAACUCCUCUACAUAAAAAGUGAAAUUGAAAUUUUUAAAGAGUUACCUUAAAAAGUUAUAACAAACUCCUUUUGUGUGGAAAGUACCUUAAAAAGAUAACCUUUGAAAUUUAGCAAAAAAAAUUCAAAAUUAUAUAUAAAGAUUAAAUAGAAAAAAAAAAAUUGUAAAGGGAAUUUGAAAGUUACAAAAUGAUAUGAUUAUGAAAAUGAAAGUAAAAUAUUGACGUUCCAAUGGAAAGAUUUAUAUAUAAUUAGUGUUUUAAGUUGUAGGACACAGUACAACAAAUCAAUGUUGGAUGGAGCAAUUUAAUUGGGGGAUUUGGGUGUGGUUUAAUUAAUUUAUUUAGCUGGAGCAGGAAGCAAUCAUAUCUUCAAAGGUGUUGACUCAUUCUUUUGUGAUGGUAGAACAUCAUUACUCUUGUUGUUGCAUUUUGGUGUUCUACAUCUAAAUGAUCAUUUUAGCAGUUCUCUCAUUUCUUUCCCUCCUACCCUCUCUUUAUGCUACUUUUUCUUAUUUGAAAACAUUACAAAACUCAGAAAAGUAGAACUCAACAAACUAUGUUUGUAAAGGACAAAUAAGAGAGCUAGCGUUUAGGGUUGAAUGAGUUAGAAUAUAUCCCACCCCAGGUAAUCGAAGAAGUUGUGAGAGCUCAAACUAUAUUGAAAUAUCCUAUAAUUUACUAAAUUAAUUAUGGUGAAGUUGUGUGAUCAUCAUUAAAACAGAUAUUUGUAAAUGAAGAUAGGAGGGGGUAAAGGCAAUUGGAGUAGUUAAAUCAAAGGCAUGCACGAGUGGAGUCAAGGACCCACACCUACACACACACACACACAUAUAUAAUACAAAGAAACACAUCACAUUGGCCCUAUGACUCAGCGGGUACCCUGCCACUGCCACCCAUCAUUUGGUCACCCAGCACAGCUGCCCCUUUGCCCACAUCACAUAAUAAUUAACCUUUUUUUUUUCUUCCCAUUUAAUAUAUAUUGUUGACUCAAAAUGAACAUUUUUUAUUUAGAAAUAUAUACUAAAUAUUAAUAUAUGGUUGUCUAUUUUUUCCCCCACACAUUUUGGUAUGAUUGCAUGGAAUUGUGUUUUUCACCAUGAAUGCGUUUCUUGAUGAUCCCCAGCAGCUUUUAAUUAUAAAAACCAUUGUUGAACUAAAAUGGCCACCUUCACGUUCACCCCCCUUCUUCUCUGCCAUCUUUCCAUCAUUACCAUACCCACUUCCCUUUUUCCAAACCCUUCUCUUUUCAAUAUCAUUCUACUUCUCACUUCCAAAUUCAAUCAUUUAUCCUACACUAUUCAUUUGAGUUGCAAUGUACAGUAACACGAACUAAAUUAGAGUAGGUCAACAUCAUCUCCGCAAUUAACAUUAAAUUUGUUAUAAAUUAAACUAUAGUUUUUCUUCUUUUGGUUAUGAGAAAAUAAAGGCAGAGAAAGCAACAUUCAGUAAAAAUCCAAAACAGUUGAAUAUGUGACUGCCAGAAAAAGAAAAAUAAUUUAUAUAUUGCAUAGCAGACAUUUGAAAUGAAACAAAAACUAUGGAUGGAGAUUCAAAAAUGGAAUAUUACAUAUAUCCUGAUCUUGUAUUGUACAAAAUUUAACGGGAAAGAAGAUGUUGAAUAGGUUGGAGGUUGCUUGGAAGGCAACCAAAUAAAAGGACCUUAGUAGAUAAUUUAAUGUAUUGGUUGAAAUGACAAUAAUACAUAUAUGUAUAGUGUAUUGGAAGGGACAACAAAAUAUUAAGAGGAAAAAAAAAGUAUAUAUAUUGUCGGUGAAGCAUGAGUCAGCAUAAUAAUUAUAUAAAAAACACAACCACGGCUAAAAUGUCUUCUUCUCAUUCUACAUUGGACUAUUUGUCGUCUUCUGUUUCUUAAAUGUUAAUAGAAUGUUUUUGUCAUAAUGUAUUUUGUUGUCAUUUAAAAACAUUCCGACUAAGAUUACAUUAACAUCACCUUCCCCAUACGUACCCGAUCCCUUUCAUACUCUUUCUUUUUUAUUACUUUUCCAAACCUAAGUUUAUCUUAUUUUAUUUUUCCACAUCUUUGGUCUAUUUUGGUGUAAUUCAGAGCCUCUUCCUUUUAUUUUAUAUCUUUAUCUUAGUAUAUUAUUACAAGAAAUCGAAUGUGGUUUUGGCGUCAAUGCACACAAUGUUGGGUUAUUAUUAAUUACUACUUGAAAUUUAAGUGACUCGGUAGGAAAUUAAUGAGAAAUUGAUUUGAAUUAAAUGGGGAAUUGCAUAUUUUAUUAAGUACGUCGACUUUAUUUUUUACGUGAUGAAAUUGAUUGAAAGAAGAGGAGAAGGAGAAGCAACUGUUUGUGGGUUGAUUGGAUUUAGUUCGGUGGUGUGUGUGUGUGUAUGUGUAUGGUAGUGUACUUUUGGGCCAACUAAUAAAGACAAUAUGGCACGAUAUUGACUUGAUUCUAAUCACGUCAGCCCAUUUAGAUCCCUUUAUAUCCUUUUUUUUUUCCCUCUCAUUUCGUGUGAAAGUAAUAAUUUCUAGAUUCAAAACAUCAAAAUAUUUAGAUAAAAAGAGCAAUGGUACCAAUUAUUUUAUAUAUCGUAAAUAUGACAAAAUUAAUAAUAUCAUAUAACUAUAAAAGGAUAGUAAUUUAGUUACAAAUUUAGAAAAUGUUGUGAUGAAUUUUCUUUUUUUUUUUAUUUUUACAAAAACUCCAACAAAUUUAUAACAUUUUCUUCCUUCUUAAGCUCUAGUUUGUAACUAUUUAAUCUCAAGAUAAUUUUGCAUGCAGUUUUAAAUAUUUUGUAUUCCAACUCUAAUGAGUGUAGUAAUGAUGGUCAAGAUAAGAAAGAAGUAAUAUCGAUUACAAAAUUUAAAAUAAAUAACUAAAUAGUUAUAAAUUUGAAGUAUACACAAUAUUUAUUUCUUUUGUAAAAAUACGAUAGCGUGGAUCAAUAAGAUGCACUAGAAUAUCUUAAUUAAUUUGACAUAUUCGUACGCACCAUUCUUAUCAUAUAUCCGACGUCAUAUUCAUUGCUAUAUCAAUGAAAAUAGAAGGAAGAGACAAUCUGGAGAUGGGCGCCGUGCGAAAAAUUGAAGCAAAACUAUACAAAAGCAGCAAGAUUAAGUGAGAUGGAGGAAGGAUUGUUAUUAAUGUAAACUCUAUUAAACUGUGAUGAACGAAUUAAAUUGUUUUAGUGUUUUUAUUGACUUUAGCUUUAGCUAUGUUCGGAUUGACAAAACAAAAGUAUCCCAUUUUAAGUUUGAUUGUUGAAUUUGUUUGUUUCUAUGUCUGUAUGGUAUUCAAAGCAUACGAGAGAUAGAAGGGGAAAGCUCAGUUUGCAUAGAUAGAAAUGAAGAAAAAUGACAAGAUAAAAGCCAAAAGAAAAUGGGUUUAAAAUUUCAAGAUAUAAAGUCACUGAACCUAUUGUCUCCAUUUUAUCCUCCAUGAUGCAGUUAUACACUUUCUUUGGGACCCAAACUUAAAUUGAACUUCAUUGUAGUUUAAGGGACAGCUUCAUCAUUUAGUGAAAACCAUAAUCCCACAUCCCAAAAAGAACUUAAAUUAUCUAUUAAUUAAUUAUUCUGAUCAAACACCUUAGCUUUAAUUUGAAUAAUCUGUUUAAUUUUGAACACAAAGGGAGGGAACAAAAAUUCAAAUGAUAAAACACCCAAAUUAUUGUAAAAAAGAAAAAUUAAACUUUUAGUGGAAGGAGAUUGUCCAAAUUAACCAACAAAUUUCUCACAUCACAAUGAAAAAUUGGAUAAUGAACGUAAAUACAUGUUUUUCCCCUAACAUAUAUAAGAAAGAAGGGAAAAGAAAAAGGAAUAAUAAUAUAACAUAGAUAUAAUUAACAUUAAACUUAACAGAAUAUAAAUCUCAUAAUUAAUCACCAUUACAAAAUAACAAAUCUCCCUCUUAUCAUCUCUCCCUAUACCCUUAAGUAUUAUAUACCCCCCUCCCCCGCCCCAAAAAAGAAAAAGAAAAAGUAUCCGAUCCUUUGAAACACAUGCAUGUAAUUCAUUAAACACACACCUCGAAUGAGCUAAUUAGGUCUCAUCUAAUUUCUAUAUGUUGAAAUUGGAAUCGAACUAAGGAUAUGAAGAAAGUUGUUGUUCAAAAGUAAAAGGAAAAAAAAAAGAGAUGUUUUUAUAAUUAAAGUGACGAAAUGAAAGAGGAUCCGAGGUUCCUCUCAGCGCAAUUACCUAUAAAAUUCUCAAACCAACAUGGAUAAAUUUUGAAGGAUUUUGAGAGCUUUUGUUGCAGCUGACAUGAUCGCUCCGAUCCCACUCCUCUCGUCUUUGCUCCUCAACCUUUAUUCUUUUUUCCUCUAAAAAUAGAGAGGGAGAUACAAAUACACAUACUAGCUAGAAUAGAGAAGCAACUGACGACCCAUUAUAGUUUGUCGGAUCGUGCCAAUUCCCCGUCACUGUCGUCGUUCCCGAGUUCCAAUAGAUCGAAGAUGGGUCGGAGAAGUUCGAUAGAUCAAUUUGUUCCGUUUGAUUCUGGCACAACCUAAUAAAUAAAUAAACACAAACAAAUAAUUAAUAUAAAUUACGUGUAUCGUCUAUAUCAACAUAAGCCUUUGAGUUUACAACGAUAAUUAACCUGUUCAAAUCCUCAAUCUUGAUUUCCUUCAUCGAAGUCAUCAAAUUUGGAUCGAUAUUACCUAAAAGGUGGGAAUUUCGGUCAAAGGAGAUGGUGGGGUGAUGGAAAUGAUUUGAACUGAAGGGUUGUUGAUGUGGAUCAUUGAAGUGGGAGAGAAGGCCAGAAGAAGAUAACCCUAAACCACCACUACCACCACCAAUGGAAUCCAACUGCAAGAAGAAAAUCAAACCAUUAGAAACAGAAAAAUAAAAACUUGAAAAGUGAAAGUUUGAAAGAGAAGGGUUAGUGUUAUGUACCCCAAAGAACAUUGAGCUAUUGGUAUGAUUUAAAGCUGAUGAAGAAACAAUAUUAGGAACAGUAGUAGAAUUGAUGGGGUUGUGAAUAAGAAGGCGAGGGUUUUGACUUGGAGGUGACGUAGAAUUAGCGUUGACUGAGGUGGAGGAGGAGGAAGAAGUUUUGAGGCGCUUGUUCUUUCGACAACCGCCACCUACAGGGACAUUUCUUAGGGUUCCACCGCGAGUCCAAUAGCGUUUGCAAGCUUUGCAAAAGUGCCUUGGUUGAGAGAGGCUGUAGUUGUUGUAGUAACAAAAUUUGGUGUUGGAAGAAUCGCAACGAGGGCACUUUAGAGUACCUGAUGACGAUUGUUGUUGUUGGUGGUGAUGGGGUUUGUCCAUAAUCCUAGAAGAUGAAGCCAUUAGGGAUCAACCCUUUUUAUCAUGAAACAGAUUCUAAAGGAAAGAGGUUGAAAAAGAAGAAGAGAAGAAAGAAAAGAGAGAGAGAGUAUAAGAUGUUUUGAAUUAGGGUAAAAUAAGAGAGAAGAAUUAGAUAUUCUCUUCCAAAAGCUAAGAAACAAAAAAUGGAGGGGGGGAGGGAGAGGGUGAUGUUGAGUAUAAUAAUUGGAGAGAGAUAGAGAGAAGGGGAAAGAGAGAAACUUGUGGCUAUUUUGUUAAUACAGUUGAAGAAAGAAAUAUUCUUGCAGUUCCUACACACUUUCUCCACUCAAACCAAAAUCCCUUUCAUUUUUAUUUUUAAAAAACAUUUUCUAAAAUAUACAAAAAGAUCGAACUCUCCAUGUUCUCAUGGGAUUCUAAUAUUCAAAGAGAUUAAUGAAUGUACUUCAACCUAUACCUUCCAUUAACUCCCUCAGAUUGCAUUUAUUUUUGUGCAAAAAAAAAAGUAUACCUAUUUUUUAAAAAAUUUACAUACAAAAUUGAAAGUUGAAAUAAGUGUUAAUUAGUUAAUAACUUAUUAGACACAUUUUCAAUUUUUUAGACUAAAUAGGUAUACUAAUUAACUUCUUUUUCAGAUACACUUUUCAUCUCUUAGAUCACUUUUUCAUUUUUAUCUCUAGAUUUCAAUAUGUUAUAUAUUUUAUUACAAUUUUCAGUCAUUAAUUUAAAAUGCUUAUAAUAAUAAUAAUUAUAUUUAUUCAUUAAUUUAAAAUGCUUAUAAUUCAUUUAUCAAAUUGAAACAAAAAAAGAAAAUUAAUAGUUACAAUCAAACUCAAACUCCGCAAUGAUAUAUUUCUACCGUUUUUUUUUUUUUUUUGUUAUAUUACAUCAAUGGCUUUUCGUUUUUCAUAGUGAAAUGAAAUAAUAAAAAGAAAUGGUAAAAAGAGAGUGUAAGAGGACAAAAGAGAGAAAAUUAAGAAUUGUGAUAAAUGUUAAAACACUUUAACAAAAAGUGGAAAAAGAGAGAGAGAGAGAGAGGACAAAAAGACUGUUACAAUGAACGAAAAAUUACACCUUCGUGUUUUAAUUUACAAUUUUGUAAUGAAAUUUCACGUGGUGGGUCUCAAAAUUAAGAAAAGCAAAGAAAAGAAAACCCCCAAAAUUUUCGAAUACUUUAUGAUUAAAAACCCGAAAACAUACAGAUGGGAAAAUUCGAAAGGGAAGGAAAAGACAAAGAGAUAAACUAAACUUCAUAUUAAUUACUUAUGAAUCUCGCAACCCUUCAAACAAUAUUUUCAACAAAACAUUCCAUCACACUAUUAUUCAUUCAUCAUUUUGUUUACACAGUUUACUGUUAAAACUAUUCAUGAAUAUAUGAUAGAGUAGUACACUAAUUGUAUAUUUAAAAAUCUCUUUCUUAGACCUCAUAUUACUUAUAAGAUAGAUAAAUAUCUAUCUCAUUGUCAAUUGAUGUUAAGAUGGGAUUACAAUAUUUAAUAUGACAUUAGAAUUCAUAAAAUUUGAACAUGAAGAAUGAUGAACUCAAAAGAAGCAUCUCCUUGAAAGAGCAUUAUGAGAAUCACAAAUUGAAAAACCAAGAGAUUUUGAGAUAAAACUUGCCUACCAUCUAUAAUAAAUUUCUCAAUAAUAUCAAUUGUUGAAAGUCAUCAUAAUAUCAGAGAGCAUGAAGUCCCAUGUGUUUAAUCUUUGCAAUGUGAUUAUUUUCUAAUCUUCAUAAUCUGUUAGUUGAUUACUAAUUUAAGUUGACAUAUAGGGAAUGUAGUGCAAAUUAAAGGAAAUCUUUUCCCCUUCUUCCAUUUUGAUUCAAAUAAUGAAAUAAUGGUUUAAUUGAGAGUCAGAAAUGAAAGAGAGGGGGAAAGAUCAGGAGGCCAUUGGAGACUGAAAAUUCUGGUGAGCCUGUUUGCUUUAUUUCUGUUUGCUUUGGUGUUAAUGGAGGAGAGAGAAAGCAAAGGGAGAUGCUGAGCCAUGUGGAAGGCAGCUCAUUCAUUCUCUCUCUGUCAAAACAAAAAAAGCAAACCAGAGCUUAGAGAGAACUAAUGGAUUUUGUAGGGCUCCAAGGGAUUUUCUUCCUUAAAAUUCUGCCUCCAUCAAUAUUAUUAUUAUUCUUUCAGAGCAGCCCUUAAUUUUGGUCUUUUUAUUUAAAAAAUAUUAUUAUUUUUUUAAAUAAAGGCUUUGUUUUGGAUAAAGUUUUUUUCUUUUAAAAAGAAUUUAAAUAUUGUUACAAUACAUACUGCCCUUUACUACCCAACCUCUCACUUUUUUUUAAAAAAAAAAUAAAUUUAAAUUAAUCUAUGAGUUUAAAGUAACAUGUAACUUCUUUGUACUUAAUUAUUGUUUUGCCUUAAUAAGGGUUGAUAGAUUAGAAUAUAUAUACAUAGAUUAAUUAUGAAUAACCAUGUAUAUAUAUUAUCCUGGCCUGUUGAAAGAAUCUUUGCUUUGUUCUAUAAAAGAAUACACUGCCAAAAGCUUUCCACUUUAUUUUCCCUACUCCUAGAUCAGCAAUCAGCCCCCACUGUCAAAAAUGCACUUACAACAUCAAAAUGGGAGGCCUCUUGGAACUACCUACCCUCUUUCCAAACCUUGCUUUAUAAUUUGGAUUAUCUUGGAACACUGGAGGAGUAACAAGUAAAUUUAAAGGCAACUAUUUGACAUUGAUAUUUUCUGAACAGUACACCUCUUUUAACACAUCUACUUGAAAAGAAAUAAUCACUUGUUCAACAACUAAAUUACCAUCUAUACCUCAAUUUUAGUCAACUUAAAAAAUAAAAUAUCUAUAAACCUUAAUUAAGUACGGUUCGCAAAGCCAAAGGCUAAAAAACUGUGUAUCAAUAUACAUAAAAUGGGGAGGAAUAUGAACUCCAUGCAUGUAGUAGGGAAUGAAUGUAAGAAGUAACGUUGAGCUGGCUUUGGUAAGUGGAGGUAAAAGUGGAUGGAAAACGUGUCAACUUUGAAUUUUGCGUACCAUGUUUUUCCUAACUUUUGUGGACUUAAUUCCUCCCUUUUAUAAUUUAUAACUUUUUUAUUUUUUAUAAAAAAAACGAUACAUAUUACUAACGUAAUAUUAAAUUUUUAUUGACAUGUUGAUAUUUUCAUUGUAUAAAAAUUUAUAUAAUAUAAAAAGUAAACAAUCAAAUGUUGCCAUAUAGUAUAUAGUUUAAGUAAUCAUCUUAAUUUGGUAUAAAAAUGGUAAGAUGUUUAUUUAGUAAUUUAAAUUUAUUUUAUAGAAAUAUUGGUUGAAAUGAAAAUUGUAUGGAUUGAAAUUUUUGUUAAAUUAAUUAAUACAUCAAUAUUUUCUAUCAACAUCUAUAUUAUAUUUCAAAACAUUGGUGAUCACUUGAUUUAUUUCAUAUACCUGAAUAGUUUAGAGUGACAAAUAAAGAAAUAAAAUAAGAAUAGGAAUGAGAAUAUUAUGGUAAAAGAGAAGUAAAGAAUUUGGAAUAUUUGAAUUAGUAGGGGGAGGGGGGGUGGUCCAUAGACCAUUAACCAUAAGUAUAGGAGAGGACAACCACAAGUUCAUUCGAUUUUCCUUCCCACCACCGCCACCACCGCCGUCCCUAUCAAUCAAGAGAUUCCAAAUAGAAAUAGAUUUUUUUUCUUUUAAAAAAAUGUAGUGAGAGAGAGAGAGAGAGAGAGGUGUAGCCAUCAAUGGCUGACCACAACCCAACUUGCAGCGACAAAGAUCUCUAUCCUUUGAUUCAUUAUCACACUUUUGUGUAAUAAAAACAAAGCCCACUCACUUCUCCAUCUUUUCAUUUCUCAUUUUUAAACCAUAAAUUAAAACAUGAUAAUCACUUGCAAUAUUCCUCUUCUUUUGGGUUAAAAAGUUGAGCUACAAUAUUUCUAAACAGGAGGUAUUAGAUUGUUCUGGCGGCUAAUUUGACUGUAAUAGUCAAUAAAUCAAUCAUAACAGUUUGCAAAAUGUAGACUUAAUCUAAAUUUAGUAGAAUAACCAAAUGUUUUCAAAUAGAUGUGUGGUAAGUAAGCAUAAGUUAUAAUCGUUUAUAAUCCAACACGAUGAAAAAGAUGAUAUCCGAUGAUAUUAAAAUUCAUCAUAUUUGAAUAGUUUAACUUCGUAGAAAGUUGACGUGAGACCAUAACUUGCGGUAAGAAAUGGAUGGACAGAGCUCAAAAAUAAAUUUGUGCAAUUAUAAACUCUUAUAUUUGAGGAUGAUGAAACAAUUUUGGUAUAUAUUUUUUCUUUUUUUAGUUCAAUACCUACAUGGAAUUGUUAAGAUAAAAAAAAACAACAAAGAAAAAAAUAGAUAUAAAGAUUGACAUAGUUUAUUAACAUUGUGUUAUAGUAAUCUUAUUGAGAAGGAUAAUUAUAAAAUUUUCGAGUUUGUGUUGGGUAUACGUGGCAGUGAAUGGAAUAGAAAUACAUAAGAGUCAAAGUUGGAUAAAAUAGAGAAGAUGAUGACAAGUAGAUACAAGUGAGUUAGUGGAGAAAUGUAUAUAAAUAGAUGAAUUUGGAGUUUGGAGUAUGUGAUUGAUUUAAAUUGGUUGGGAAGUUCCAAAAUGACCCAAUACCAUGUCUUACGGACGCGGCUUGAUCAGAUGAUACAAAUUAUGAGUAUCGAUUGGUCACUGUCAAACCCUCCCUUUCCUUCAAUUUCCAUGCAAAAUACUCAUACCUCCACUUUCCCCUUAUCACAAAAUUACAAUCAACCCCCCCUCUUUCUUCCUUUCACAUCCAUCAUCCUCAUCUUAACAGUAAUACCAAAUAAAUCAGAAUAAUUUAUCUUAGAUCAAAAGAGAUUGAAUGGGUGUGUUAAGCCAUAAUUCAAUGCACUGUUCCUCCUCUCUUAACUGUUGGAUACUGAGAACGUUAAUUUUGUUCGUUGUAAAUGUAAUGUAAUUCAGUCAGGUUAUUCUUUUUUUUUUUUUUUUUUUGUUUUGACACAAGGCUCCCGCUCUGUCUAAGGGUCUUUUUAGAAAUCCGUUGAGAGUGUAAUUAACUUGGAUUAAGUGAAUGAUUUGGUACUGAGGACAGAUUAGUUAAAGGUAAUUUGUCUAUAUUAUUAAAAGGAAAAAGAUAGAGAAAUUGAUUUGAUGGGAUAGAAGGGGAAAGGGUGUUUGUUAAAAAUGGGACGUUGGAUGGUAAAAGCAAGAAGAGGGGAAGUUUUCAGUAUUUGUAAAUGGUAGGGUGUGUCUGAUUAUGGGUUUUUAAAAGGUAUUUUGGACUGUUGUUUAUGGCACUAUCAACCCUUCAACGAUCCUUUGGGCCCUCAAGAAUGUUUCUUCUUCACAAUUUCCCCUCUAUGUCAUUUCCAAUACAUUCUUUUUCAUUCCUUAAUUAUUUGUAACUUUCCUUCUCUUCUUCUUCUUCUUCUUCCAUUUCAUUGCACUGUUUUUGUUUGUAACAAUCUACUUAAAAUUAACUUUACUCUAGCUAGGAAAAAAGAGAAAGAACAAAAAUAUGAAAAUUCACUACUAUUUACUUAAUCUUUUUGCUGCGAAAGGAAAGUACUAUUCAAGUGUGUUAUACAAUAACGUCCUAAAAUUGAAUUAUGAUGGAUUUUCCAGUAUGAAGUUUUAAAGAAUAUAAAAGGAUAUAGAUGAAGAGAAAAAGGCUUUAUCCAAUUAUCCAAUUUUACCUAGAUUGGAAUUUAGGUUAGAAAAAUUUGAGAAUAUAAAAUUUGUUUGUAAUUAACUAAAAAAUUAUAAAAGUUUGGACUAUUUAGUUUUUUAAAUAAAAUUGACAAAUAGAUAGCACACCUUAUGAUUAAAUAAGGUUUGUCUUUAUCAUUUCUGCUUUGUUCUUUUGUUUAAUUUGUUUUUACAAAAUUUGUUAUCAUUUCCGUUGAAGAAUGAAUUGUUGAACCAAAAAGAAAAAGAAAAACGCAUCUAAACAAAAGCUCUGCUUCGGACUGGGAAUCAACUUGGGCCUUUCCUAAAUGGGCUAGACCUCCCUCCCCGGCCCAAUAAGUUUUGUUUAUGUUUUUUUUUUUUAAUAUAUAUAUAUAUAUAAAUGAGAAAAAUAAUUGAUAUAAAACAUAGACUUAAAUAUUGUUGUCUUUCUUUAUGAUUUUUCAAUUAGUCUGCAUCAUUCUAAAUUAAAAUAUUAAUUUGACUAAUGAUUAAUAAUUGGAAUGGCAUGAGGGAAAAAUAGUCCAUUAUAUAAAAUAAUGACAAGUAUAUGUCUAAAUAUAUAUAUAUUUAUUAAUAAAAUAGACAAUUAGAAUAUAAAGCAAAAUUCAUUACUGGUUAUUUAUUAAUAUUAUCCAAUUGGUAUCAUCUUGUUUGUUUGUUUGUCAAGACUAUAUUGUCUGACCUAAUAUAAUAAAUGUGCCAUUGUUGAUAUUAAUUUAAACAAUAUUAAAACUCGGGAAAGAAUUAAAAUCCCGCAAUCAGUUAUUAUUGUUUUGAAAAUUGAUUAAAGGAUACCCAUGAAAUGAUGAAGCAAGCUUUAUUGUGAAAGAAUCCAACUUUUAUGGCAUGCUAAGAAAUUACAUUCUAAUACGAUAAGGAAGGAUGUGCUUACGUAUAUAAACAUUAUGUCAUAUUAGUACGAUUAUCAUUGAAAUUUAGAAAUGUUUUCAAAGGUGGAGACAGUUGGCAAAGGAGAAUGAGGUUCUGAAUUGAUUUGGCAUUGUGAUUGAGAUGAGUGGACCAAAAGGCAUGGGUACAGCUGCAUUAAUGUGGUCCUUGAUGUAGGUGAUAAUUAGGGAGAAAUAUUAAUAUGAAAGGCAUAAAAGAAUAAAGGAGAGUUGGCCACUUAGCUUCAUACCAAUUGGCGCUCACAAAACCAAAAAUCGUCUCAUUUAAAAAAUGGGCAUUCACUAACUUGCAUAAGCGGGUCACCAUAUGGAGACACGUGGUGGAUGUGUAUAGGGACAUAGUGCUGAAACCAUUGGCUGAUCCGUGGCUGUCACCUUUGGCCCAGGGUUGUUUAAUAAUACACUUGGAAUCGUCCUCCCCAAUCCGAAAAUGACUGUCAACUAUUAUACCGACAACGACUCUUCCUAUAAACGCUUUUCCCAUACCAUACUAUACAUUUCACCAUGUGACAUAUUUCUCUUUUUCUUUCUCCUUCCUAAUUUUACUUCUUUUAAUCCAAAGUAUAUACUUCUAUCAAGUUAUUUGUAUAUUUACUUACACGGAUUUUAAAACCCAAUAUCACUCUUUCUUUAAUUUCUUGGUCAAUUGAGGUAUAUUUUAUGUUGGUUAGUUAAUUCCAAAUAAUUAUGUCUGUGUGUAUAUGGUGAAGUUGAAAGUAGUCAACUUUUUGUUCUUUUUGUAUUGUUUUUAGCAAUUCGUAGGAUGGAGUUUGGACUGUAAUUGUAAAGUUUACUUUGAGUUUGUCCAAUGAUAAGGCUGAAGAAUUUUCAUAUAAUGUUGAGAUGGAACACAAGCUACACUAAGUCACUCUCAUAAAAUAUUUUUUAUUCUUGAUGUGAUACAUAUAGAAUUUUAGGUUACGCAUUACAACUUUAGUCUAUCAAAUUUUAAAUUUGUGUCAAGCAUGUCAUGAAGUACUUUAAACAACUUUUUAAAUUAAUCUUUGAACUAUCAUGUAUCUAAAUAUAAAUUAUUCUUUUUUUUUAUAUAUAUAUAUCUUAGGUCUAAUAUAAAUAAGUUUUCUAAAAUUCAUGAAUCCUAAUUAACUAGACACCAUUCAUAAUAAUCUUUAAAAAAAACAACGAUAAUCUUUGUUAGAUAUUUUUGAAAAAAAGAAUUAUUAGACGCAAAAUUCAAUAUUAAUGUUCCCUUGUUUUAAAAAUAUUUGAAUGUGUUUGUAAAAUUUAGGAAUAUAUCUAUAUUAAACACAAACAUUAACGUUCAUAAAACAAAUUUAUAAUAUCUAAAGCUAAAAGAUAUAUAGAGAUACAUGUAUAUCAUGUCGCACUAUCCACGUUAUUAUCACGAACGAAUAUUACCAAUUGCACCAAGAGGGUUAGAGAUUCAAGUUCAAAUCUCCAUCUCCACCAAAGAAUACUAUAAAUUCAUUGGUAAGUUUUUUUUUAAUAGUUUAAUGAAGUGAAUGAUUGAAUAAGACUCAAAAGAGAAUCCUCCAAACUUAAAAAGCAAUUCUUUAAUUUUUGAAGAAGCAGCAACCACACAAGUGAAAGAAAAGAAUAGCACUUGGACAAGGACACCAAAUAUAUAGAAAUAUAUACAAUUAAUCAUUAAUUAAUGGAUUAAAUUAAUUAUAUAAGGUUGAACUUUUUAAUAUAUGUGUGUCUUUUAAUUUUUUCUUUUUUUUUUUUUUUUUGGUAAGAAAUAGAAAAAGUAUUUAAUAGAUUUUUAAACAUCUAAUUUUCUAACCAAAUAUACUGAGGUAUAUAUUUGUUCAAAAGAAAUUGAAAGACUAGAAACCUAUUAUAGUAAAAAAAGAAAAAGCAAAGAAAAAAAAAUACAAGGUGUGGUCUCUUUCAUUCACUUUCAUUUCCAUUAUAGUUUAUAUUAUAUAUAUAGUCAUGUGGUUCUUCUAACUUGUUCUACACAUAUAAGACUUCUCUUAGAAAAUGGCAAACUCAGAAGAUCAAGGUUGGGAGGACAUGAUUGUAGAUGAUGACGACGACGAUAACGACAACGAAGAAAUAGGGUUUGUAGAUAAUGAGAGGAGGAGGAGAUCUGGUUUAACCAGUGCUCGGGGUGGUGGCGGAGGGGGAAGGUCAACGGUGGCACGUUGCCAAGCCGAUGGCUGCAAUGCUGAUCUGACCGGUGCAAAACCGUACCACCGCCGCCACAAGGUCUGCGAGUUCCACUCCAGGGCGGCUGUGGUGAUUCUGGCCGGAUUGGAACAGCGAUUUUGCCAGCAGUGUAGUAGGUAAGAAAGAAAGCUUCCUCUUUUUUUUUUUUCUCUCAAAUAAUUUUUUUUAAGAAAACCCUAAUCUGGAUCUCUUAAAUUAGUAUUGUUUUUUUAAUCUUUAUCAAAAUGUUUCACUAUUUAUGGAAUAAAUCUAAUAUUCAAGUAUUCUAUUAAGGGGGAAGACAUUUUAAUUUCCAUUUAUACACUAAAGUGUUGAGUCAAUUCUUUUUUGAAUUUUCUAUUGAACAUGAAACAUGUAUAAUUUAAUAUUAUCUUUUUUGAAAAAAAAAAAGUUGUGUUUAAUGGUGAUUAUGUCACCCAAAUGGUUUUAUUACCUAUAGUAAUUACUUUUCAAUCAAGAUAGUAAAAUGCCCAUUAAUAUAAUAGUUAUUGACUAUCAAUUUUAUUUUUUUUAAAAAAGAUUGACCUUCAUUUUUAAGGUCUGAAGUUUUAACAAAGUACUGUUAUAUUAUAUAUUCUUAAUGGUUAAUUAAGUUUGUUUAAAUUAAAGUUGGUAAAUUUGGAUUUUUUUUUUCCCUCUUGAAUAGAGAUUGAAAGGUUUUACAUUAUUGUUAAGACUAAAUGAAUCAAUUUUAGUUGUAAUAACUUUUAAAUUCAAGUGGGUUUGAGUGAGUGAUACAAUUAAUGCUAUAUUCUCACAGUGAUUUUAAAGCUUUCGCUUUCUUAAAAUUAGAGAACAAUUGUGACAUAGGGUUUUGUGUGAUUGGUGAGGAACUAUUCAUUUUAGUGUUAACACUUUUAAUUAUGUUGGAUACUUAAAAUAGUUUGCUUCACAAUAGAGUUAAUUUAGUGGUCGAAAAUAUAUUUGUUGGAAAUUAUUAGAAUGUGAAUAGGGUAGUUUUAAUAUAGUGACAUUUUUUUUGAAAUUAUUAUAAAAAUAGAGGAAAAUCUAUUAAAAUUUAUUUUUGGCAAAUAGUUCUACUUUUUUAUUUUCUGUGAUGUGCAUAUGAAUUUCUCACUAGCUGUAGCCUAUAACAAUAAUGGUGGAAAAAUAAAUUAGAGGGAAGUAAAAUUGAAAAUAUGAAAGGGUGUGGAGGAUUAUAUUAAAUACGCAUUAAAUGUGAAUUAAAUAUAUUAGAUGGGAAUGGAAAAGGGAGAUGGUUUAGUUGUAUUAUGAUGACAGGUUUCAUGCAUUAUCGGAAUUCGAUGACACAAAGAGAAGCUGCCGGAUGCGUUUGGCUGGUCACAAUGAACGCCGCCGUAAAAUCUUACCGGAUUUUCAUGGCCAAUCCUCCACUAAUUGAACCACACACACUCUCACUGUGUCCACUAAUUACCUAAUUAAUAAUAAAUAACAAUAAUGAUACACUCAUUACUAAUGAAGAAUAAGAAGAAGAAGAAGAAGAAAAGAAGAAAGAGCUGCUCGUUAUUGGAGUUAAUUUUGUGUUGAGAGAGAGUCACAGGUCAUUCUGGUUAUUCUGGUCACCAGUCACCGGCGGCCACCGUGAUGAAAAAUGAAUUUUUAUGCUUUCUCUCUUCUGUCAUCAAAAGAAAACCCAAUUUAUAGCCCUCUUUGUAAUCAUAAUAAUAAUAAGUAAAUAGAUAACAAAGAGAUGAUCAGAUGGUUUAUGGUACUUUUUGCCUCAGUCACAUAUCACUAAAAUCUGUGUGGGAUAUCUUUCUUUCUUUUUCUUUAACAUUGUAGCUGUAGGUUAUGUAUGGAAGCCGGCCUAUGUGUUUAAUUUAAUUGUAGUUUGUUAUAUUAAUUAAUGAUGUUUUGUAAAAGAAAUUACCUAGGGCAACCAAAAAGUAUCAUGAUGUAUCAUCUUAUAUAUAUAUUUUUUACUCUUUUAACUUUGGAUUUUACUUAACUUUGGCCCAUGUGAAAUGAAAAAUUAGAAAAAAAAAGUUGUUUUAAUUCUUAUAAAUUAAUUAAGAGACUAUUUAGUAAAAAAAACAAAUAUUAAAAAGUGAAAAAUUUGAAAUUUAGAGGUAAAAUGGAAACAAAAACUUAAAACUAUAAAGUCAAAAUGUAACAUUAUUAUCUAACUUAUAUUUGUGAGACAUUGCUGUGAAAUUCAAACUUUAAUUAAAACCAACACUUUUGUUGAACUUUGUAUUUUGAAAUGAUGAUAUUAAAUUAUUGACGAUUCUGAGUGGGUAAAGCCCUAAUUUUGCAUUGAAAUAAUUAGGGCUCAGUUUUGGGAUAUGUUCAUCUAUUAUAUUAUAUAAUGAGUUAAAAUUAGUGGGUAAAUGUAGUGAAAAUGGUAAUGUAAAAUCCAAAAUCUUGUAUUCGAUUUAACGUGAAACUUCCAUCCAUUUUCUCUAAAUUUUUAAUUUCAUCACAGUUUCAUCUUAAACUUAGACAAGUGAUAACAAUUUUUUUUAACCUUUUAGCUUUAAAAUAUUUGUAAUCUUUACUGUUUCGUAAGUUUUUGUUUAAAGAAAAACUUUCUUUUUUCAGGUUUGAGAUGAAGUUAUUUGUUUUAAAAAAAUAUCUUCAUUUUGUUAAUGUAAAAGAAUCAACAAACUUGAGAACACCCAACUUGAGUAACUACAAUUCCAACAAGCCUCCAAUCUUCUAAACUAGAAGUGAUUAGAAGUCCAUAUUGUAUAACUCAACAAAACAAUUCAGUACAUUUUGAACCAUUCAAAUUAGAUAUGAAAACGAAGAAGUUACGAUCAAAAGAUGGUUUGAAAGAAAAAAUUUAUGUAACAAUGAUAGUGAUAUACAUUUUAGCAUUUAAAAAAAGCUAACAUUCAAUGGAUUAAUUUCUUUAUGUCUAAUUUAACAAUACGUAGAGAGAGUCAUGUAACCCAAUUGACAUAAAGAUGGAUAAAAAUGUUAAAAGUUUAAUCUCUACCCCACAUAUCAUAUGUGACGUCUUGGUUGAUAAAAUAGCCAAAGUAUAGGGGACUUAAUUUUUUUCUAAACCAUAAAUAGGUUAGUAGAGACUUAUUUUUAAACUUUGUAAUAAUUCAUAGAAGUUUUUGAUGAGUUAUAUUAAAAAAUAAGAGCAAAGUUAAAAUGAGUGUAUUUCAUCGAUAAUUUAUAUUUAUUUUUUCUUUUAAAGUUGAGAUUCGUUUGACACAUACUCCUCCUAAGGUUAAAAGUUCAAAUUCUCUUAUACUUACCUAAAGAAAUGAAGUAAUAGAGACAACUAAAUUGAAGUCGAGUUGGCAGCCUACUCAAAUGGUUAAACUCAUACAUAAAAUAUUGCAUGUGCGUUUAAUAGACUAUAAAUUUUGUAAUUUAAAUGCUACAAAUUCUGAAAAUAACAUCUUAAAAAUAUUUGUUACCUUUAGAUUUUGAAGUACAUAGCUAUACUGAAAGAAGAAUAUAUAAAAAGAUUAACAAAUAUAAUAUUUCAUCUUGAAACAAAAUUUUUAACACAUACUCGAUAAAUAUUAAAAAUUAUAAUUAGUUUCUUCAUUUCUAAAUAUAUUAUCAAAUGCAUUUUGAACGUUUAAUUUUAAUUUUCUAAUCUACAACACAAAUGUAUUAAAUCCUCUAUUUUCAAAUUUCUAAAUCAAAGUGGCCCUGUUAACCUCACUUUAUCAUAUGGUUGAUGUGUCAAAAAGUGUUAUCUGUUUUAGUUUGUUGUUAUGUAAUUUAUGGGCAAGCUUUAACAUUUAAUCCAAUAAAAGUUUAACAAAGUGUCAAUCCAAGAAAAAAAAAGAGAGAGAAGACAUAUUUCAAAUAUUUGAUUUGCCACAUUUCCUAUAUCAUUCGUCAUUGCUUUUUAGAUUAUAAAAAGAAAAAGAUAAUUAUAAUAGAUAGCAAUUUAAGAAAUAAUAAUGGAGUAUAUUGCAAUAAGUUUAAUUAUUAUAUUUGCAACUUUUUUUAAAAAAAAUUACAAAUGAGAUGUCCUCAUCUCUAAAGGGUAAUGUCACGGAACCAAUUCAUAUAAAGAUAAAGAAUAAAAUUAUACCAAACACCCGAAACCAAAAGCAACGCUGAACCAGUAGUUCCCAUUAAAAGAUUGAAAAAUGCACCUGUUUUAAUAAUGGUGUCAUAACUUGCUACGGACUAUAUCAGAUGGAAGCAGCCUUUCCCCCUCGUUAUGAAGAGUUGGCUUUCGGAGUACUUCACGCUGUUCGGCGAUGAACUUUGCAAAUCGAGAACCUUUCCCUUUUGAUUCAUGGUCUUCGCCUAGCAAUUGAGGGAGACCUGGUGGAGGAGAGGGCUUGGGAGAUCGCUGUGACAUCAAUGCCCAUAUAGAAGAAAGCUGCUCAUUUGGUUCAUCCAGAACUUUUACAACUGAGAGAUCCUCCAUGUCUGUAAGUGAAAAAACGAACCGCUAUAAAUUAGAAAUAGGACUCAUGCUGUGGUAAUUUAUGGUCAUAGAACGUAAAUGACAAAAGUUGGUCAAGCCACACAAUACGAUUAAAUUCAGCUGGGAAACCUUUGGAGAACCUAUGGAUGGGUUCCAAAGCUGCACAUGGUAUGCUGAAGUUCAAGUGUGGAAUAAUAACUCCUCGCCCAUGCCUUGCAUUGCUGUAUCAACAUUUCAAACAAAUUAUUAAUUUCCAGUAGAAAUCCUCUCCUCUUAUUGGUAUAUGGAUAAAGAGAUACCAAUCAAACAAUUGAAAGCAUCGGCCAAAUAAAACUGAACAAUAUACCUAAGAAUAGCUGCCCACAAACAAAACUAAAUUGGUCCUACACGCCUUGAGUAAUGAUGAGAGGCUAAGCAAAUUUGCACGUACAAGAACCAGAAGAAUCAUUAAAGGUUUCCCAGGUUUUAUGGCGGCUAAAAUUAAAAGGUCAGUAUUCAUUUAAAAGCAGUUAUUCACUUCCAUCCAUCAAGGAUAUUAUAUGUGGAGCAUGAUGCAAGAUAAAAAUCACAAAUAAAUACCUCGAUGAAAUAAGCAGAUAGCUAAAAAGAGAGACUAGAAAGGAAAAUAAAAUUAUAGCUCUAAUCUCCUAAAACUAGGAGGGCAAUUGAAAAAUGAAAAAUGAAGAAAGCUGAAGUCGAAACAGAGUCAGCUUCCAAACGGUUUCAUCCAGUUUAAUGAAUAGGUUUUCAUACAUUUUGCCAUUUCAAUUCUCAAGUCAAUAGCAAUUUAAAUGGAAAAAUGAUUCCUUGUUUCUAUUUCAAACACAAUGAAUAGUUCGUUUUUUUACCCUAAUAGACUGAAUACUUCAACAUAUCUGGAAAACUCUAUGACCCUAUAAGUUCACCAGUUCCAUUUUCAAUAGUAAGAGCAGCAUUUUAUAAGCUAACCUAAUAUGGACGGUUUGAUCUUUGUUUAUUGCACCGUACCUUGUAACAAGUCCAAUCAUAUGGCCUUCUGAAUUGACAACAGCACCCCCACUACCACCAGGGUGCACUGCAGCGGUUGUUUCAAGCAUCGCAGGAAAAUAUUCUAACGAAUCUCCUUUGUGAUAAGAUGAGGGAAUCUUUGCUUUCACCACAUUAGACACCACACCAGAGCAAACAGAAGGGGACAAGCCUAACAAAAUUCAAACUAGUGUCAGAUAAUGUAAAAUAUAAAUAUUUAUCAUAUGUUUCUCGAGACAUUAGUAAAUUAAUUUCUGUGUAAAAAGAAAAAGGAAAAUAUCAACUUGCAUAAUUUGUUUUAAAAAUAUCAUGUGAAACAUAUACUUCUAUCCAUAAACUCCAAAAGUUUUAGAAUGGCGCAUUAUUAAGAUUACCUAUGAAAAUCUUCAUUGUAUCAAUUCUUACACACAUGGACAAUAUUUGUUUUGUUACAUUUAGGAGUUUAGUUAAUAAUUUUAUGUUUGUCCAAAUGAAAUGUAAUGGAGGCUAUAAAUUGAUACACUUUACUUAAUAUUUAAAUAAGAGAAGUUCAGGAUUUUAAAUUAAUACAAUUAUUAGUUUUGAUUAAAUUGAUACAAGUUCUUGUUUAUGGGUAUAAAUUGAUAUUUUCCCAAUAGAAAAAACAGGAACGCUAGAAAAUUAGUUAUCCCAUCCAGAUGAAAAUGUAGACAGCCAUUAUUCAGUGGAACACCACUUCAUCUGUAUAAUUAGAAAUAACACGUUCUUUUUCUUUCAAGGAAUCCUUUUAGGCAAUCAAGUAACCCAUCAAAGAAUAAUGAUGAUGACUGCAGAAUGACUAUUAAAACUAUUUAAAUGGUCUAAACUGGAUAAGAAGAAAAGGCUCCUUCAUCCGGUUCAUCCCUAAUCCCGGAACAAAACUUUUUCCAACACCAACAUGAACCAUGGCAAACUAAAAGAUCACACAACAAUAAUAAUAGACCAAUAAAUUAGAUGAAAGAGAUACCAGAUUUCGGUCCCAACAGUCCAUGCCCAAUAACAUGUAUCUUUGACCCUGAGGUUGGGCAAGAACAAUCCAUUGUAAUAGGGGAGAGCUGCUCUGGUAUUUGCUCGAGCUGCAAGAGGGCAACAUCCCAAGAUCCCUUGCAGAUGUAUAACAAUUUAGCAUCACACCAUAUCCAAGGCUCUGCAUGACUCAAGCGAACAUGCAAGUUUCUACGGCCAUAGUUAGGAAAACUUAACUUAUUAUCCUCAAGUUGGUUGUGGAGAAGAAUAUUUCCAUUUUUAGAGGCAUUUGGUUCUAUAUUUCCAAUCUCUUGGCCGCCAAAAACACUGUUAUUCAUUGAACACGGAGAAUGCUCAGUGUGGGACUGCAGCAGCUUGGCAUUUUCGAUUGAUUUUUCUCCACCAACAUUUGUUUUCCCAAAUCUCCAUGGCUCUAUCAAGUGGGCAUUCGUGAGUAUUAGGCCUUGGCUGUUGAGCAAAACGCCAGAUGCCCAUAUUCCUUCGCCCAUUGUAACAAGACAAACAGAAGCCACUGCCUUCUCAAUUUUAAAUGGGAAAGGACGAGAACAGCCAGAACUUUCUUGAAUACUGCUGAAGCCUCCCUCAAGUUUUUGUUCCUUAUUCACUGCCAUAUUCCCCACAGCACCAAUACACCUGUUGUCGUUGUCAAUCCUUUCUCCAACAUUACAAGUACCUAGCAGUAGACCACUGCAAGCAGUUGCGAUGGCUCCCCAUGGAAUCAACAGCUGUUACCAAGCCUAGAGUCUCACACAAUGCAAUAACUCCGAGUGCAAUUAAAUUAAUAGCAUGUAAAGAGGCAAACAGAUUCAUUAUACCUGAAUCUCAGCACCAGUCAUAUAAUGCACAAGUGGCCUAAUCAGAACACCAAUGAGACGUGCUUUUUCAUCAAAAACUGGACAGCCCUCCAUUCCUACCAGAGAAAGUAUCAUAGUUGUAAGAAAGAAACCACCAGAAGAAAACAGAAUACAAUAGAACAGAAAGAUAAACAUACCAGGAAGACACCGCAUGUCAGCCAUCAGUAAUGACUUGCUCAAUGAGCUAGGAGGGUAGCAAUUGGAAAUUGAUCCGACCGAUAAGCUAAUUUGGUCAAAAAAUCAAAGACUACUAGUCACACAACAGACAGCAGAUGCAAUAACAGACUCAACCUGAAUUAUUUGACAGUAUAUUUACCCCUUGAAAGCAAUUAGGAUUGGCAAACAAAAAAUAGACAAGUAAAUUCAGAAACAUGUCACCAUUGUUAAAUAUGAAAGAAGAGAAAAUCUUCUACAGCCAUCUGCAGAAUUUGUAAUCAAUCAACUACUAACAUCUUCAGUGACAUUCCAGUAUUCCAUUUAAUCAUGCUGAAACCGAUACUAACUGAACUAGAAAAACAAGAGAGGAACGGGAGCAUCUAGGAUUUAACAAAAUUUAAGUGUGAAUAGAGUCCUAAAAGUUUGCUAGUCUGGAACUGUUUGAGAACUCAAGGGUAAAAUUGUAUGAACUAUGUAACAGAUAUACCUGUUAAGAAAAUGCACUGGUGAUAGAACACCAAAAGGAGAACCAACAGCAAGAAGAAAGGAUCCUCUCUGCCUUGAGGGAGAUAUACUUAUGUUUGGCAUGUCCUAGAAAGAACUCAAAUAUUAGUAACUAGCAGUAGACAUUACAAGUAAAAAAGACAAAGCUAACGCUAUAAACAUUCAUGAAAUGCCUAACCUAUCCUGCAAUCUAUAGAAUUGAAAUUUUCUAAUGAAUGACAGGUAAGGAGAGGUAGGAAUUCACCUUUGAGAGUGAGGGAACACCAAGAAUGGCGAUUCUUAUUGUUAAGUCAUUGUUCUUGCUAGAUCCCUCCAAAUCCAAAAAUUUCUGGCUACCAACAGAAGUUCUCUUUUCAUUUUCAAUCUGAAAAUGAACCAGAAACUACACUAAGGAGACUUAAAAUUGGGGGGGGGGGGGGGGGGGGGGGGGGGGAAGGCAUAAGUAUGGAAGCAAAACAAAAUAAGUGCAAUUAUAUUAAAUUUAUUGAUGGCUCUCUUUCUUUUUCUAUUGUUUCCCAAAUAGAGUUAAAACAACUUGGGACACUCUGCGAAGCAUAAUGGAACUCUCAGUUUUGAUCUAGGUGGGUGCCUCAUUUGAGCAUUAUAUUUGGCUUCAUCCUAACCCUGCUUUUGUUGCACUUUCCACCAAAUUAAUAAAAGGUUUUUUUUUUUUUUUUUUUGGUUAAAUGGGUAUCGAUUCAGUUAGUUGUUACAAGCAAAUUCAAUUUGACAAUGUGCAAAUGCUGUAGCUUCUUCUAGGUGGCGAUACAGAAUUCUACCUACAUUGCAAGUGAACCUUUUAUAGUUUUAUAUAACGAUUACCUGAGUUGUCUUGUGAUAUAUACUAUAUAGAUUACAAGAGAAAGGGAAAUAUGUAUGACAAUUAAACUAUUUUAUCAACCAAAGGACCACUCACCAUGCUAAACUCUUACAAAUGUGGUAUGAUAGCUCUUCCUAGAGAAAAUUUGUUUAAUAGAAUAUUAACUCGAACAACCUUCAAAUUUCAUUUAUCAAGCGUUAGGUUCAUUUCUUCAAAGAGUAUUGUUUUAGUUCAUAAAUAAAAGACAGCAGAUAUUAAAACCUGUCCCCGAAGAGAAUCCCUAAAAGAUGGAGAACCAUUUGUAUAUGAGGCCAAGGACCAGCCGACCUCCCAUCUCUGAUGUAAUGAAUCUAUGGAAGCAUCCAUGACUGAUUGAAGAGCAGUGGCAGAUGUAGGUAUAUCAUACUGCAAAAUACAGUUAGCUAAAUUGACAAAAAAAAACAAUUGCAUGCCAGCUAAAUAAAUUCAAACAAGCAAUAAAUUAUUAAAACAAAAUGUGCAAAUGUUUACUAUCAGAGGCAGAGCAGGUGAGUAAACAUGGUGUUAUUGGGAAGAACACAUACUCCUAAAUUUACUUAACGUUGUUUUAUACGGUAGUGGGAUCAGAAAACCUUAUAGCUUGAAAUAAAACUGACAUAAAAAAUAAAGGCUGAACCUUAUCCAUGAUUACAGAAAUUUACCCUGUGAGUUAAACUUCACCCCAUAAAAAUAGAAGUCUAAUUUGGAUUUCAUGAAACUGUUGGAAUCCCAACUAAAUAGUGAGAAAAAUGAAUGCCUACCAAAGCCAACAAGUGUGCAGCAUGCCAGUGAGGAGUUUUGCUAACAUCAGAAUCUCUCGAGAUACCCUGUGUCGCAAGGGAUUAUUCAUAUGUGAGUUUUGAAUGCUAAAUUAACCAUUCAAGAAAACUUAUGAAUUUAUCAAAUAUACAAUUACAAUUUACAAUCUUAUAAAUUAUACCUCAACCAUAAUGUCAAUCUGAACACCAGGAAUUAACUCAGGCUUUCCCUGCAGCUCGUAAAAAGGCUAAUCAAAUAAAUUGACCCAAUUAAUCACAUACAUAAGAAGUGGAAAAAAUAAUUUUAUAACUACAACAAAACCCAGAACAGUGACAAUUCCCCCCUUCUGCAGCAUUGUAAGUGAAGUUAACCUUAUGAAUCUUAUCUCUGUGUUGAAGUGGCAUAAAAGGCUCAAAAAUGGAGGAAACAGUAAGAACCAAUGUUGCAAAUUGAUCCUUAUAAUUACCAAGAUGCUUAGCGGCCCUGGUGUCAUAAAGGGUUUCAGGUAAUAUCAUUCCAGAUGCUGAAAGAGUUGUCCUCCCAGAACUUCACAUGCCAAAAAAGUAAAGGGAAUCCAUUAAUUAUUUUCCAAGUUAAAGACAUACAACCCCUAAAAAACAAUCUAUCAGAUAAGAAAUUCUCACUGAUACUGAUGGAAUGCAUGUUUUUGCAUCUUCAGGCCCUUCGGGUCCUAAAUCAUAAGGCUCGCUGAUUUUUCACCAUCUCAACGGAAAUUGAAGCAUGGGAACAUGGAAAAGGGGCAAGAAAGAUAGUGACUCACAGGGCCUUGGACUCUGACCAUGAUGGCAAAAUUUCUAGCAUGAUCCACAAUUUCACGUUUCGCCAUGACAGGAAGAUUGGCUGAUUUAGAGAAAGAGUACAAGUUCAAAAUAAAAAUAAGCUCAAUUGAAAAAACAAUUAUGCACUUUUUCCACCAUUCCUAUGAAAAUAAACUUAAAAUUCAAAGGCGAGAUAAUGAAAUGAUUCUGCUAUUGCCUUCAGGUAGAAGCUUACAAUUUGUGAAACCACACUAGCCCAGCCAGGCAUCCACAUUCUAAUACUUAUACCGAGUAAAUAAAAAGAUUCUCAACACAUUCCUUGAUGAAUUCACUGAUCUGAAUUGUCUGGUCUUAAUUUUGCAUUAAGAAAUGUGUUUUCUACAACUAGGAGUUUGCUCGUUUCUCCUACAACCUAAACUAAACCCCUCAAGCCACUAGCAUAUCAUGAGAGGAUUUCCUAUCCAUAACACAUAGGAUUGUCAAUUUAGAAGAAAAUGCAAAAAAGAUCCUUUACGCAUAGGAUUAUACUCUUUAUUUUUGUCAAAAAAAUCAACGUUCACAUAAUAAAAAAAACUAAAUUAAAGUCCUUGAUUGUUUAAAAUCUAAAUAAAAUUAUUAGUAUCAAUGUCUGUCAUUUAAAUCUGAAUAGAAUUACUAUUGCCGCUAUUUCAUAAAACCCCAACUUCCGUUAAAUAUCAAUUACAGAUACCUUAUUACUCUCCGUUCUUAUCGUAAAUACAGUGACAUUAAUUAAUAAUUAAAUUCAAAUGAGAAUAAAAACAUAAAACUACAUUAUUUACUAUACAGCUAAGAAUGGAUAAAAACAAAAAAUCAAAAGUUUUUUUCCCAAGCCAUUGUAUUAUAGACUAAAGGUUUCUUCCAAUCGUCUUCGUUCCGUAUUUAUCCUCGUUAGGUCAUGGUAUUACAUUCUGUGAAUUAUCCACAAAAACCAAAGUCAUCAAGCACUUACCUUACUAAACUUUCUACUUGUGUCCCUUCCGUCUUAAUUUGAACUUUAAUAUUUUUCACUAAAUACAGAUAAUAGAACGGAAUUUGAAGAUAGUUAAGUUAAUUACAUUGAUUGUAUGUGAAUAUCCAAUCCACAACCAAAGCACUUGAUUACUUGAUUUCUCAAGCAGGAAUCAAAUUGGGAAAAGUCGAAAAUCAUAAUCAAUCAAAAUAACUUCAAUGAUUAAUCUUGAUUGUACGUUGAAACACAUUGAAGAACUUAAUGACACACCAUAAAUUUACAGAUAUUUAUUAAACCCAAGAAAAACACGACCAACCGAAAGUAUCUUCUAUGUUCCUCUCAGAAAUAUAGUAAAUACUUUACUAGCAGAUACAUGAUUAUCCGCCAAACGUCCUUAUCUAUAAUAAUCGCCCGCAAUCAUCCAAGAAAUUCAAAUCAACUUCACAUGCGGUGAACGGAAGGAUAGAAGAUAACAGAAAGCGAAGACGAAGAAGAUAAAUAAUGAAAUAGAAAAUUAAAAAAAAAAAAAAAAAAAAAAAAAAAUUGAAGGUAAGUUCAUAGUAAAUCCAAAGAUAGUUAAAAGACGAUUGAAGAAAAAUUGUGGGGAAUGAGUUACCUGUGAAGUAGUGUGAGAAAGGAAGAUGAAGAGGCCGGUGUGGAGGAUAGCAGCUUCGGUUGAGGCAAUCAGCAGUAGACCUUCUUCUACAGGAGACGCGCGGGUAAGAUGCUGCACAAAAUCAGAAAUGUUAUCUUACGGCACGCCUAUUUAUAGUGUUACUAAUUUAAUAUUAUAUAUAAACUAUUUACCCUAAGGUUAUAAUUAAAUUUUGGAUGAUUGUCAAAAAUAGAAAAAGAAAGAAGAAAAUACUACAAGUUUAGUAUUCCACUUAAAAUUAAAAAUAGAAUAAUCUAAGCUUUGGUAAGUGCAUUUUAGAAUUUAAAUUUUGUAAUAUAUGAUUGAUUCUACUCAUUUUUUUUGAGGUUUAGAAUUUUGAAUUUUUAAAAUUUUGAUGGAUGUAAAUUUAUAUUUAGUAAAUUAAUUUUGUUGAUGAAAAAAGUUAAUUUAGUUUUGAUAAAACUCUCACCAUAUAGGUUUGAUAAAACAUUCAUAAGCUCAUAAAAUAGUAUUUUAAGGUUAAAUUCUAGCUCUAAUUUAUAUUAUUUUUUUAAUGGUAGGAGUUAGAUUAUAAUUUAAUUAAACUAAACUUGUAAUUUGGUUUAAACGUAUUAAUGUCUUAAAAAGAUUUGCUAAUAGUUAAUUAUGUGUUUAGUAGAAUUAACUUGUCAAAUCAUAGAGGACUAAUUAUAUAAAUAAAAAAUAAAGAAAAGUGUUAAUAGGUAUUCACAUUAAAAGGAACUAAAUGAAUUUCACCAUAGCCAAUCAAAUGUUGUCGCGUAUUCGUUUUUGUCCUUUUGAAGUGUAUAUAUCGUUGUUUACACAUUUUUUUUAAAUGGAAAACAAAGGGUGAGGUGAAGCAUUAUUCUGAUUUUAAUGCAACCAGUAAAUUGAAUCAAAUGGAGUUGGGUUUUUAAGUUAAAUGUUGGAUUUUCUAUCUUAUAAAUGUAAAAAAGAACAGAAAAAAUUAUACAACUGUUGUUAAUUAAUUUAUUGAUCUAUUAUCUUUUGAAGAAUUUUCUAAAAGUGUUGUUAAUGUUCAGUGCCAUGAUAUUCUAAAAUUGUCAACAAUAGCUGCGGGUACUAACCAAUAAUCUUGAGAAAGUCCUAGUGGGAAAAAGAAUCAAAACACUAUCCUGCAUAAAAAAUGAAAAAAUAAAGCAAUAUACAUCAAAAGAGAAAAAAAGAAAAAAGUAAUUCUAACUCUUCUGUUGUGACAAAAGUACUAAGCCCAUGUUGCCAACAAAGACAUGCCUCCAACUCCCAUCAAAACAGCAACAUAAGCCCAUAUAUGCAGCUUGAGAUUGGCUUGCAAUUUUGGCCCCUUGAAAUCAUGCGCCAAUAAAUUAACCAACGCCAUGUAAUUCAGCAACCCUGCCGAUAAAGCAUUCAAAAUCCCCACUACUAUUAGCGCCGUCGGACUAUUCUCACUGUACACGUUCGACAACACAAUCCCCAAUCCUAUUCCAAACGGCGUCGUAACCGAGAAGAAAAACACCAUUAUCGCCUUCAUCUUUAUCCUGUAUUGCGCCUGCAGAAUGCACCCUCCAAGCCCCAUCCCUUCAAACAGUUGAUGAAAGCACAGCGCAGCGAUGAGCGGUCUUAUGGUGCACGGAUUCUCCGAAGCCCCUAGUGAAAGCCCUAUCACUACCGAAUGCACUACAAUCCCAGCUUCUAGUAUUUGCGCGAUAACACGGUGUCGUAGCAAUUGCGACCCGAGUUUUUCUCCGGUUCCUUCUUCUUUCCCCAAAUUUUCACUCAUUUCCUUGCGGUCCUCAUUAUUGAUCUCCUCCUCCUCUUCUGAUAAUUGAUCCUGCAUCGACUGUUUAUUGAAGUGACUCAACGAAAACGAGUCCAACAUUAGAGUCAUGAUAGCGGAAAGCAUUGCUAUGAAUGUGGGGAAAGGGAAUUUCCGCCAUGGAUUCUCUGGCAAACAGGGGGAUGUUAAGAAAUCGUAGGAAUCAGGGAGAACGUGCAUAUAACCAGUUGCUAGAAUCACACCGGAGGCAAAUGCCUUGACGAUUGCAAAGGUUUGUCCGUCUGGAUGAAGAACUGGUAUGGCGCGGGAGAAGAGAGGAAGAGAAAUGCCGAUCAUGCUCGCGACUAAAAUGGUAGCAAUGGAGAUGAGCUUGAGUUUGAGGGACUCGGCUCUGUCAUGGCAGUCUUGUUGAAGCUGAGCUUCACAUUCGGAAUCGGGAGAUGGAAUUGAAUCUGAAAAUGAUAGGGAAAUGAAGGACAAGAGAAGGAGAAGGAAUAUGAGAUUACGAGCCAUGGCUGUGCUAAAACUAAUCCAAAAAUAUGUGAGUUCUUUACUGAUUUCUGUUGAGAUUUAACGGAUUCAAACUGCCAUUGAAAUGGCGGUAAUAGCCUCCAUUGGUCGAAAGAAAAAAAUGGAGUCAGAUUCUAAACUAGAGGUGAAAUGAAGGGUAUUUUGAUAAAUGGACAUGGAAUUGUAAAACUUGAGGUGGGCGUGUGGAAGUUGUGACGUGCACACAGGUAUGACUAGACUUUCGUCGAGGAGAUUUACUCUCUACAGCUGACGUGGCAUCGAUUAUUUACUUUUACCAUGCGUUACAAUGCCACGUAGAUUGUAUCUCCCUCUCUAUAAGGUAUUUUCAACUUAAUAAUUCAACCACUUUUAAUUCAUAUUUUCUCAAACGUGUUUAUAUCCUAUUUAAUUUAUAAAUGAAGUUUAUUUUCUUUCAUAGUUUAUAAAAUUUACCCAUUUGAUUAAUUUUCCAAAAAAAAAGCUAAUGAAUGCAUGAAUUUCGUUUCUCGUAGAAAAUCUCCACAAAGAGAUUAUACUGUCUAACUUCUUUUAAGUCCUAUAAUUUUUAGAAAAUAAGGGCACACUCAAUCAUAUAAUUUAAUAUUAAAUAAUAAUAUAGAACAAAAGUGAUAUAAUUAAAUUAUGCAACUAAUUAUACAAAACGAAAACGUUAAAAUAGUUUGGACUUAAGUAGUAGUGAAAUCACUUGGCCUUAACUCAACUCAGAUCCCUCUGCCAAAAGGUUAGCAGAGACCAUUGCAAACUUCAAUGUACAAGAAAUUAAUCAACCAAGGCAUCUUUCACAUUCAGCCACAAAUUAAAACAAUAUAAAUAUGACGUCCAAUGGCAUCUUAUCUAAACAUAAACUAUCAUUAUUAUAUGUUUCAUAUCAACAAAUUAAACUUUAUUUUUUAUUUUGUUGUCUUAAUCAAGACCUUACAGAACACUUAAACUGCAUACAUAAAAUCAUCAUUAACUAAACUCAUCCAAUAACUUGAAAUAACUUAAUUUUCUACUGGCAUUUAAGGAAUGAUAUAUUAUUAAAUUUAUAUUCUCUUGUAGAUUUAUCAACUUGAAGGAACGGACAUUUUUACAAAGCAUUUUAAAAUAAGAAAGGAGAAAAAUGAGUGGAUAAAACACAUUCAAUUCUAAGAUGGUUGAACUCAGGAAAUAAGAAAUGGGUAGGUGGGUAAAUAGGGAAGUGAUUGCAUUGGGAACAGCCAUGAAAAUGAUUGUAUGUAAAUGAAUUCUCUGUGCUGCUUAGAGGAUCUGAAAUCAAAGAUUAUUUCAUUGUAAUUACGAGAGGGAAAGAGUAUGUAGAUAAACGACCCAUUGACUUUUUCUUUCUAAAAUGUGGCCUUAUGGUCUCGUUCUAAAAAGAAAAGCAUAUUUGAAGCAUUAAGCUGCAAACAUUGUUAUUGUUAAAUUGGUAGAACAGAUUUACAAAUUACAAACAAAUAAGGAAAUAAUAAAAAGGAAGAGAUGAUUUGUAUACAAAAUGACUAAAAUACGGUAGAUUGAUUUAUUUGGUAGAGUAUGGAAAUUGGUAUAUUAUGUAAAUUGCAUUUUUGAUGAAAGAGCGUUCCAAAAUUCUUUGGUGUUGUGUGCUUUUUUUUCUUUUUAUUUGUUUAAUCAAAAUCUGAUGCCGUGGAAAUUUCGUAAAACCACGAAAACGAGGCUCCCUCCCUCUCGGCUCUGAUAUUUUGCUCCACCGCCCCCUUCCAUCGUGCUCUACGAACCUCAAUUUUUCUCAACUUACAACUUCUUUUCCUUCUUUCUUCAACUUAUUUUGCUUCAGACCGAAGCAAUGCCGGCUCGAAAGCGCGCUUACGACUCUCUCGAUGUUGAUCUUUUGCCGCCGCGACUCCAUAAUACCUUCAACAAUGAACGCUCUCAAGAUGAACAAUCUCAGGGUACGCUUCUACUUUCUCUUCACCAACCUUAAUUUUCACGAUGUACCCUAUUCUUUCAUCUUCCUGCAUUUCAUAUAUCUUAUUAUUUCUUCUUUUAAUUAUUUUCUUUGUGUUUGUACUGAGUUCGUGGUGUUCUUUCUCGUUCCUUCUUUUCCCAGAAUCCGAUCGAAGCUCUUCGUCCAGUCAAGGAGAUGAGGACGAGUAUGUUCCGUUUAUGAGCUCUGUUUUGCGUUUGCUUCUUUUUGUUCGUCUUCUUUUUCGUGUUGUUCCCUUUUACUCUAUUUACUCUUUUGAUUUAUUUCGUCUGGUUGGUUAUGGAGUUUCUUUGGUGGCUAACUGGCUGGGAUUGAUUUGGGAUCUGCAUGGUGUGCUUCGUGGUAUUGUUCAUUGAGGUCUUGCUGUGACCGUAUUCGAAGACCAGCUGUGUAGGCUUCACGUACUGAGGCACUCGUCGAUUUUUUUCCUGCACCGGAGUUUUCCUUACUUUCAAGUUUUGCGUUCCUUUUCCGAUUAUAGUUAGUAGAAUUGGGAGCUGGAUCUUGUGGGAGAAGUGGGUUCUCGAGGUUGUAUGUGCGAUCAAUCUGUUUUUACAUAUGCUAUGAGUUGCUGGGUGGGUAAUGACGAUGGAGCUCACAUGGUUUUAGCUUCUUUAUGAUGUUAAAGCUCACAUGAUUCGAGAUCAAUUAUUGACUCAACGUGGAAUCAAGCUUACUAUAACUGAAGCGUUCACGGGAAAAUUUUGGUGGUUCCCGCCAUUGAUUAUCGGAUCCAAUUUUACGCAAUUUCCAAUAGGUUAACGACUGGAAAUCCCGGCAUUUCAUUAGGAACGACUUUACCCAAAUUCUUGACAGCUUGAGCGGUGCCCUUUCGCUCACGCGAUGAACGAACUAUUUGGGUUUGGGUCGUGUCAUAGAAUAUUUGUGUUUGAGACUAUGAACAGAAAGUUGUUUAUCGGUUCUAUAGUUGCAUGGUGAACAGUAGAAUUCCUUGAACAAUUAACACGAUCUUAGGUGUUUUGCGAUUGUUCCGGCAUCCUAAAUUUCUGUCUGGUUUUCUUUUCCAGAUUUAUCGCCGUGAAACUGUCAGACAUUCGGAAAGAAGUUCAGUGUCCAAUCUGCUUAGGUAUGUUUGACUAAUUCCUUCUUGCUGAACAUAUUUAUCUCACGUAAGAAAAGAUUUCUAUUGAUUUGAACAUUUGGUUUGAAUACUUAUACAAUUUGCGGUCUCCAAGUGCAUAAACAUGCUUACUACUUGAAAACGAUCUAGCUGUUUAAUAUAGGUUUCAAUGUGUUAUCCAGGUCUUUACUGACUUUUACAAGAUUGUUGUUACAUACUGAAAAUCAAUCAUCAUAUAUAAUUAACUUACUUUUGUUAGUUUGUAAACUGACCUACCAAUAAGGCUAUUUCAAAUAAUUUAAUUCCGGGAUGAAAUGCUGUGGAGUAGAGGAUUAAUUUUUCCACCUCCGAGUGAGUGAAUUAUUUCACAUAUGAGGCUAUGGGAUUUGGUUUUCAUUUCUUUUGGUGUUCAACGUUCCUAUUGGAACCUUACCAUUUCAGGCUACAUAUAAGUUCAUUUGGAGCCACUGGUUUGUAAUGUUGUUACAUGUUUGCACACAACAAUUUGUAAAUUAAUGCCCGUAUUGUCAAGAUUCUUGUUCCUUGCUUUCAGUUUAUGCACUGACAGCUAACACGAAAAUAUCUUCCUUAUCAUAAGACAAUAACUAAAUUCCAAAUCAAAACAUUCCUAAAAUUUGACAUUUUUCAGUGGUUGUAUUAAGUACUAUGAGCCAUGACAUUCUAAGUCUUGGCAUGUUUGGAAAAUAUAUUUAGGUGAAUUUGGUGAGGUUACCUCAGAGUCAUUUUGGAUGUUUAUGCAUGAGUAGUUUUCUUAAGGUGGUCGUUAAGUGUUUUUCAAUUCAUAAUGUGCAGGAAUCAUAAAAAAAACCAGAACAGUUAUGGAAUGUCUGCACCGCUUCUGCAGGGAAUGUAUAGACAAAUCGAUGCGUCUAGGGUAUGUCCUUAUGUAAUUUUUAUUUUGAUUUUUCUAAUUGAUGUACAGCUCAAGAAAAUAAAUAAGUAUCGUCGCAAAGUUUCCCUCUACCUUCCAGUAAACUUGUACUAAAAUUUGCUGCAGUAACAAGGAGUGCCCUGCUUGCCGCACUCAUUGUGCCAGUCGACGCUCUCUGAGAGAUGAUCCAAACUAUGAUACCUUGAUUGCUGUGUUGUAUCCAGAUAUUGAAAAAUAUGAGGAAGAGGUGGGAAUAUUAUGUUUUAGCUUGCAAGCGUGGUGUUUGAUAAAUGAUAAUUGAUAUCGCCAUUUCUGCAUGCUCCAAUUUUGUUAAUUUAUCUCUUUUAUGGAUAGGAACUGGCUUUCCAAGAAGAAGAGAAAGCUCGUAAUAAGCAGGUGAGAAGGCUAAGUUCUGCGAAUUUGUUUGUUUCCAGAGUUAAUAAGUUCACUUUACAUUGUUCAAUAUACAUUAAACCACAUAUUUUGUUGUGCUAAAACCGACCAAGAGAGGGAGAGAGGAAUUAUUUAAGUCAUUAUUCGAUAUGCAAUGAAAAGUUGUGGGGGCAAUUGGGACAUGAAAUAGAGCAUGUUUUUCUUCGUUGUUGUGCUUUUCUAUUCCAUUUAACUUGGAAACAUCUCGGGCUGAACAUCAAAAUGGUUAUUAUAGAUUGUACUUGUAUUGGGUAUAUAUGAUCACGCUUACUUUUAUCUUCAUGUUUUGUUUAAAAUGUUACUUUUUGAUUAUUCUACAGAUCCAAACUUCCAUAGCUCAGACACUUCAACGACAAACUGAAUCUUUGGGUAGGAAACGUUCUAAACCUUCGAGGAGAUUAAGUUCUAGAGGACCCAAAAGCUUCCAAAAUCAUAUUGAAAGUCUAUGCUUUGAUGAGAAUGAGGACGAAAAUGAUUAUGAUGUCAGCAAAAAUUCAUCUUCUGCUGAUGAGCGCAUGGACACUAGACCUAAAAGACCCAGGAGAUGUGGUCCUGUUAGAUUUUCACAGUCUUCUUCAGCUACCGGAGCAGACGGAGCAGAUGGUGGUGGUAUUGAACAUGAAUAUGAAGUUAACAAAGAAAAAGUUGGUGCAUCUUUAGGGCUUGUUGGUAGCUCGGAAAAACUUUCUUGGGGCAAAGGUGGAAUAAGAAGUCACACUAGAUAUGGGGGUACAAAUGGGGGGGCUGGUAAAAUUUCCAGGAAUAACCGCAUCGCGAAGCUGUCAGAUUAUGUUCGAAACUCAGAAAAUGUCAGUGAGGAGGAGGUAAAAACAACUAUUUGAUGUGUUACUAAACUUCCUUAUGAAUAAACUGUGGACAUGUUAACGUGUAGAAAGGGCUCGCCUACUUAAUCACAUGCAUUUUGCUAUGCCUCUUUUAGAUGCUGCUUAAGAGCUCAACAAUCUUUUAUUGUUUCUAUUCAUCAAUGACUUUUGCCUACUCUUCCUGAUUUUAGUUGGACAUCCACGUUUUGCUCGUUUCCAUGGAUAGAACUAUACCUGCAUUGCAAAGACCAUAUAUUUGCUGCAGGCCUUCAGUGAUGAUUGGACACCUAAGUCAAGUAAUCAGUUAUUUAAUGGAGCUGCACUUUAUCUGUUUAAAGUCUUUAUUCAUUUAUUUAGUUAAUUCUUGAGCUUCCUUUCUUCCACAGUACGUUGCUCUUGAAACCUCACUUUCAGUGGACGUUGUUGAAAUAUGCGUGGCAAAAGAGCUUCAGGUGAAACUCGAUCCUUCCACCUCUGAAGCGACAAAGAACCCAUGUAAAGAAAGUGUACAGAUACUAAACGAGCAAGAGACACUAUCGACAGCAAAACUCAAAGCACACAGGCUAGCUUGUGGCUAUCUGGUAAAAGUUGCACACUACAUUUAUAACCAUUUGUACAAGCCUUUUGUACCACAUUUUAAGCUUGUUCCCUUGAUUCCAGCUUUUGGCAUAUAAGAAAAAGGGCUAGAGUUCUGCUGAUGAAGAGGAAUUUGUUUGGCUAAGAAGAAAAAGCACUUGUGCUUACUAGCAAUUCAUCCUUGAAGAUUUUGGCAAAUCUCCAUACGUAUAUAUCAACUCAAGAUACCAAGGGCUAUAAGAAGUUCCUGCUACAGGUCUUUUUCCCCCAUCUGAAUGUGUUGUUUAACAACUCCCUCGUUAGUUUCUUGCUACUGCUUUCUCCAUUUCUCCAUGUAUAUGUGCCAUUUUCAUCAACCUUGCAGUAUUUAACUGACUUUAAACAGAUAAAAGUUCUGAUAAGUGAAUAUAUAUACCAUGGAGUAUGGAUUACAAUCCAUUUUCAUGAUAGUUUAUUAUUGAAUGGUGGAGUUCUUAUGAUCUUCUUUUAACAAUUUAUGUACAAAUGCUCAUGUUGCUCUAAGACAAAUGAAUUCUAAACUUAAAUGAGUUAUAACUUCGCCUAGAGACGGUGCAAAAUUUUAGUCAAACUUAGUUAUGUGGUUGAUUCCCUCUCAGAAAACCAAUUGGAAUUGAUCUCUCAACUGCUAAUUAAAAUUGGCCCAAUAAUUAAGAUUGAUGUUAUGGAAUUAAAGUAAAAUCGAUGAUGUAAGAUUGAAUAAAAUAAACGUUGUAAUAAUUCUAACCUUCAACCUAGCUCAUUGAUUACGACUCUAUCCUUAUCCAUAAACCGCUUGUAUUGUUGUUUGUUAUUAUUCCUUUUGGAUUUUCCCAAACUUUUAAUACAUUUGUGGGGCCAAGGUGGAAAUAAGUAGGCCCCCACCGUAGAGGUUUUUAAAGCUUGGUGGGUCCAUUCCAUUACUAACAUUUCAAUACAAUUACACGCCAUCUAUGUAAUCAAGAUUGGAUAUUAUCACAAUUUAAUGCGCUAUCAGCAUCAUAAAAUAUCAACUUAUUCAAUGACAGAAAAAACACCAUCUUUAUUUAAACGGCAAUCAUGAGCCAAUUUUAUCACCGCCCUGCACGGCGGACUAUAUGAAGUAGUCGUCCCAUCAUUGGCUGUGUCAGCACACUUAACCCCUACUUAACUAUAGACUCACACAAAUUUAACACUACAAUUAUAAAAACUUGCUUGGGACAACUCGGAUGCGAAGAAACCUAGUUAGAAGAUGUAUCUCACAUACACAUCCAGAACCCACCGGCUCACGUCACCACACACGACACUAUUUACAUUCAACCGCCGUCGUAGCCACCGCUUAACGGUGCUGGCUCUUGGUGUCACCGCUGUAGAGCCUGAAACCGCAAAACAAAGAGUUUCAUGUCAGUUUGAUAUACGACAAAAAUAGAGGACUCAUCCAAGCCCUCAGAUGUCAGAACCAUGACCAAGUCAACAGAUCUGACGGCUUUGGAUUUCACUCGGGGGAAUCAGAACUUCGAAUCGUUUUUUUUAUCAUCCACCAACUGUUGGGAAUAUUAAGGACAAGAUACCCCAGAAUCUAAUUUUACUUCACCAUCACCAUAAUUAUAUUCCACUCGGCGGCGCGUGGAUUACAGUCGCCCCAGUGAAAAGUUGAUGUACGUACCAGUCAUAAACAGUUGGAGAAUUGGGUUGAG